AUAAGAAAGAAGAGUUAGAAGAUAUUGGUAUGCGGUACUUGAAGGAAUUACUAUCAAGAUUUUUCUUCCAAGAUUUGAGUUUUGGGAUGUUAGGAAUGGAGACGUUCUCUUUCAAAAUGCACGACCUUAUGCAUGAUCUUGCUCAGCAAGUGGCCAAAGAUGAAUUCCUAGUAGUGAACUCUGAUUGUCAAUUUAUUCCCAAAAGAGUCCGCCAUUUGUCAUUUGGUGCUGCUAAUGCAUCAAGAAAUGACUUUUCAAGCCUUUUAUCUGAUCUAGGUCGUGUGAGAACCAUUUUCUUUUCAACUGAUGAUGAUGAGAAGACAAGCCAAUCAUUUGUUGAAUCAUGCAUCUCAAAGUCGCAGUUCCUAAGAGUGCUAGAUUUAAGUGGCUCUGCUAUUGAGGUUUGUCCAAGAGAGAUGGGUAAUUUGAAGCACACGAGAUAUCUUGAUCUGUCGAAAAAUUAUAAAAUCAAGAAACUUCCAAAAUCCAUUUGCGAGCUACAGAGUUUACAAACACUGAAUCUUGCUGGAUGUUUGGAGCUAGAAGAGUUGCCUAAAGACAUAAGGUACCUUGUCAAUCUCAGAUUGUUAGCGCUAACCACAAAACAGAAGUCUUUGCAAGAGAGUGGAAUAAGGAGCUUGGGUUCUCUUCGUUGUUUGUCAAUUUCUAGUUGCUGGAAUUUAGAACAUUUGUUCGAGGAGAUAGAUCAAUUAAGUGUCCUUCGAACAUUAUCAAUUGAAAGUUGUCCUCGUCUAAUCUCAUUGCCACCUGCUAUCAAAUAUCUCAGCUCAUUAGAGAAUCUGUAUUUGGCUAGCUGUGAAAGCCUUGAUCUUAAUUUGAACAUGGAAAUGGAAGGUGAAGGAAGUCAUCAUGAUCGCAAAAACACAAGGCCUCACCUUCGGAGGGUUUUCAUCAAGGAAAUAACACAGUUAUUAGAACUGCCACAAUGGCUUCUUCAAGGUUCUACUGAUACUUUACAGAACUUGUUAAUUCUUGGUUGUCCCAACUUCAUGGCACUACCAGAGUCACUGAGAAAUUUCGAAGCACUUGAGGGUCUUGUCAUCGGGAAUUGUCCAAAAUUGUCAUCGCUGCCAGAGGAUAUGCAUCACCUCACUACUCUGAAAUCAUUGGCCAUUGCAGGAUGUCCUGCACUGAGUGAACGAUGCAAACCGCCAACAGGUGAAGAUUGGCCCAAGAUUGCACAUAUCCCUGAGAUUUUACUUGAUGGCGAGAUGAUUAAAUCAAGUGAUUAUUAGGUAUGGAUUUUUUUUUUCAAUAAGCAUACCACUCUGUUAUAUUUCCUCUUUUCAUGCAGCUUUCUAAUUUUUAAUUUCUCAUACAGCUAUACCGUUUAUAGUUUAAUGUUUUGUUAUGUUUACCAAACGAAAACUUGACUUUGAACGUUAGUUAGUUCAAUCAAAUUUGUACUAAUUUAUUUUCUUCUAAUAAAUAACUAGUUUGUCAGUACAAAACACAAAAAUAAUAUUUUGGAAACCGCACUGUUCUGGGGGUCAGAUCUGUUUCUAAAUUCAAACAGUUCAGGAUUUUUCAAAAUGGAACUUAUAAUGAGAUUUUUUUUUUUAAUUAUCUAGUUAUCUUCAUAGGGAAUUUCAAUCUUUGUUAAUACUUUAACUUGCGCCGAAACAUCUAACAAUUCUUCCUCUUAUCCUUUUUUUUUCCCAAAUAUUGCAGCUUUCUUGGGAGAGGUUCAACCAAACUGCAGGGACAGUGAAAAUAUUACUCUAACGUUGUUCAGAACAGAGGUUCAACGGUUUUAAUGUUGUGUUUUAAAGUUACAAGUAUUAUAUAUUCGUUACGUGUGGUUAUGUAAUUUGCUGAUAUAUAAGUACAUUGAGUGAGGUAUAUGUGUGUGCCUGUGUGGUCAUUACUGAAUUUCUCAGUAAUAUAAUUUGCAUUGACUGCAGAUUUGUGAAGAACAUUGAUACCAAACAUGUGGUGUCUGUAUUUUGUGCUUUGUGAUUGACGACUUACAUUUGCCCAGGAAGAAAUGAAAACAAAUCGGCUUCUUGAAAUUAACCAUUUAUUCUUUCGAAUGGUAACCUUUUUGUGACAUGAUUCGCAUAUUAAUCAAAAGCAGUUGGCAAACUAAUUAGAUAUUGCAUCGUGAUUCGUGGCCUUGAAGUGAAAUGAGUGAGCAUGUUUGUGGAGGUUUUUGUUUUUUUCCUCCAUAUAAAAUGACUAAUUCGAAAGAAUAUGUAUUGUAAUAGAACCUAGAACUUCUAUGUAUUUUAGGAUGAAAAUUCUGUACAAUAGAAAAUAUUAAAACGAAAAUCAAAGAAGCUUGCAACUUGGAACUGCAAUCUAGCUCGACCUACUAUAUAUAUAUACGUUAUUAAUUAAUUGAUCAGGUAAGAUAGGGAGAGACUCGCGGACUCUUUACAAGGAGCAAAAAUGGUAUGAAACUCUGUUUUGAUUAAAAUUCAAUGACUUUCUUCGUAUUAAUCAAAUUAAUUGAUUAAUUAUUUUGGUAAAAAGAAUUUGCGAAAAGUCAUUUUAUCAAAUGAUUUGGUGAAAUUUCAAGUACUUUCAUCUUGGUUUUUGCAGUUAAUAGGAAAUAGUUUGGUGUUGGGAUGUGGUAUAUGUAUCAAGUUCUUAUUGCUGGUGAACAUUACUGGUUUAGUGUGCGAUCGUUUACUAUCACUGCAUGCAUUAUCAGUUUAUUUUAUUGAACUGUCCCAAAUCAGUAACGAAUCCUCAAUUCCCUCUGUUUUCUUUGGAUCCUAGUAGUGUUUGGCAUGCAUCAACUAGUGUUCAUGCAUGGGUCGGUUCAUCAUAGACAACUUCAGCACACAUACAACAGCCCUCAUUUCUUCUUAUAUUGUCGGUUCGAUAUCAUUUUGAAAAAUCAUAUCAAAACUGCUUUUGGAGUUCUAAUCCAGUGCAGUUACACCUAUAUUUUACUUUUGAUCUGCAACCUUGACUCACUGUCAUUUUGCUGUUAGUAUUUCGAUUAGCAACUUGUACAGUGGUAUUUGAACUGCAUGGUAUGUCAACUUUCACUCUAUGUGUCUUAGAAACUCUGUAUAUCACUAAUUUCCUAGCACAGGUCUUGUUGACAGUCAAAGAUUUGAGGCAUAUUUCUAUAUUGAAGGCUUUUCUGUCGUCAAUUUGAUGAUGAGCGCAUGUAUUAUCCCCAAUAUUUUGAGCAGGAACUUGUAACUAGUAAUAACCAGUACCUAAGAUGUUGCAUUUGAUUGACUUCUCUUUCUCGUUUAGUUUCAGCCGUUGGAGCUGUUUCAGACAUGGUAACUGAUACGUAAUUUCUCUCUUUCCACCCCACAAUGUAUCAUUAGUCAUCAUUCGUUCUGGUUGGCGUGGAUACGCAUACUAAUUUGGAUUAUUGUCUGUGCCUUCGUCUUUUGUCAAUAAUCUUUUGCAUUUCAGGAUUAGUACAGCUUGUAUACUGGUAAUACUCUCUCAACUAUACAUGUAAGACUUUGUUAUGUUUUCUUGACCCGUAAUCUAAUGCUAUAAGAUGACGGCAUAAUUGAGCUAUUUUGCAUCUCCAUGCAGGCCUGAUUUGGUUUUUGUGUCACUACCUGCAUUAGAUAUUGGUAGUCAAUGGCUGCAGAUGUACAGGUGCCGUUUCGUUUCCCUGACAUAAUCUCAUGUAACAUGAAAUUGCUUGUGAAACUGGAAGAUAUUUGAUUCUUUUUUUUUUUUUUCAUUUUUGCUAAAGAAAAGUGUUACUUGCGUUGGGAAAUAUGCCUACCACUCUGGAUCUCCGUUGCAGUACAUUCUUGAGAGGAAAAUCUAGCCAUAAAAUGUAAAAGACAACACAAAUUGGCUUUUCAAAGCCUAUGAUGGGAACCGGAUGUUUAUGGGUUAUAGUUGUGUGGCAUGUGAGGUAAUUGUAGCUUUCCGUGUUAUUAUCCAUAUCAGGAUUUGUAAAUGUUAUCAGUGCUUUUUACCUGAUCCAACUGUUUCAACCCUGCAGCUUCUUUACCUAAUCAUAUUUCUUAUUGCGGAGACGCAGAGUGAAAGUUUGGUGGAUGUAGGUUCUCAUUUUCUUACUAUUAGAUUGUUCUGCAUAUAGAAAGAUUUCCCCUGUUUCUCGCUUUGCAAACAAUCCUUCUUUCAGGUUGUGGUGAGUGCUGUGCGACAGGGCAAUCAAGCAAACGAUCAAUGUCAUAAAGGUAACUUGCACUCCAUAUUAUCGUAAUGUUCGUUUAUUCUGAUACUUCUUCACAAUAAGUAAAUUUCUUGAUGUCUACAAAUUAAGGAGACUUUUGUAUGGGUAAAGUUGACAUUUUACAAUGGCAUUCUGGAUCCUGAAAUCGGUCAGUUUGAGAUUCACAUGCUGUGAUAUGCUCUAAUGUUAAAACUCAAACCUUUUCUGUAUCUUAAAUGGAUUGUCGUGGAUAUGCCUGGGAUGAUCAUUUUCUUCCUCUUCACUUCAUCAUCUUUGUCAGAGUAGUUAUAAUUGAUUGAGGAGUGUGAAAACGCAUUGUGAUGAAUGAAUGCACAAGCUAUGUGAUUAAGACUGCAUUUAUUAGGUUGGUGACGGCAAAUAUCAGGCAGGAUAUUCACAAUAGUGCUACUGAAGCUUUAUAUGGAAUAAGGAGACCAAACCUCUAUAUGAUAAGAGUUGUAUGAAUACCAAAUGAAUUGUAAGAGGAUAUGGUUAAUUUAGAUUGUAAUUUAAGAAAGCAUGAGUUCUAAGAGCACAGAAAUGGGAUCAGUCUUGCUCAAGUGUGAACUCCAUCAGUUAGGAAGCUGUCCAUCAAAUGGAAAUAUUUACGUGAUUCAGAGAAAUUUUGGACUUUUGAUGAAAACAAAAAUCCUGUAUGCAUUUGCUUGCCCCGAAGGAGCUGAAAGUUCUCAAAUUGUUUGUAGACGUCAUAGUUCUCCUGAUGUCAUUUGGCUUGGUAAUCUUUUUUGCUCGAAAAUUUGCCCAUUGUGUGGUCUUGACGGUGGGUGAAAUUGAUUUGUGGUUUCAGAUGAAGACAGCAGCAGAUGUGUGUGUGCUAUAUGACAUCGAGAAAAAGCAAAGGCCUUAAAGAGUUCAUCAACAUUUUCCAUUUCAGAAGAAUCUGUUUGUGGUUCUCCUGCUCAAGUGCCUACUUUUCGGGGUGCAGCAUAUAUGUUGAGACCGGCAUAUGAAAUCACUAAACUUUUACAGUUGAUCCGAGGCUUCUCUAGCAAAGGAUUUGGAAUUAAUUUGGGGAAGGGGUGUUUUUUUGGGUAUAUGAGUGUGUGCAUUCCUUCAAUCACGUAGCUUCGUGCCAUUAACUUAUUGGCAAUUCCACAAUGGUGAUAAUGAUAAUUUUAUGAUUGGGGCACAGUUUUAGGAACUCUUUACUGGUUUUUCUUUCGCAUCUGUGUCUAUGAUUAAGGUUGUUUAAGGUGGUAUGGAUUUCAGUACAUUGAACAAAAAAUUAUUUAUUUUUAUUCAAAUAAAAAUACCUAAAAAUCAAACCUAAGUUAAAAAAAAUAAAGUUUAUGAUUGGGGCACAGUUUUAGGAACUCUUUACUGGUUUUUCUUUCGCAUCUGUGUCUAUGAUUAAGGUUGUUUAAGGUGGUAUGGAUUUCAGUACAUUGAACAAAAAAUUAUUUAUUUUUAUUCAAAUAAAAAUACCUAAAAAUCAAACCUAAGUUAAAAAAAAUAAAGUUUAAAAAUUUCUGAAAUUAAUCAAAUUUUAAAACUUGAGACUUUUAACAGAUUAAUCCAACCUUUGAAUAAAUAAACUAAAUGGGGGUCAGUUUUCUCGUGUCAGCUUGUUCAAUCGACACUAUCGUUUCAACCUCCCACGAAUAAACAAAUCACUAAUGAUGUGUCCAUUUCUUCUACUUUAUAAUAAUUUUUAAUAAAAAGAUUAUUAAAAAGAUUAUUAAAGUCAGUCUGGUUCCAAGAAGAAAGUGAACAUGAGAUGAUGAGAUGCCGUAUCAAAUGGGGCCACGUAGACAGAGGUGCUUCGAGGUGACAUGUCAGCAGAUAGCUCCACCGACGAUCUUCAAAAUAAUUUGAACGGUUGGGAUUUUAUUUUCAACUUACCUGUGUCCAGGCUGUUGUUGAUUGUCGCUAUCCUGAAUUGUCCACUUCGAAUUUUUUUUUUAAUUUCCCCAACACUCUCCUGACCAAAGGAGUUAAUAAGAUUUCGAUAUUUUUUUCUUUAAAUGAUUUGAAAUAUCAAUAUUUUAUAAUUUUUUUUUUGGGUCCUAUUUUGUCCAUAAAAUGUUUAGCGAUCUUUUCGUUAAUUAGUUUCGUGGAUGUCUUAUCAAAUUAUUACAACGGUGAUAACGGUUACACAUAAAAAUUAAGGAAAAAAAAAUGAUUAUAAUUAACGGUGUACGAUCCAUGUUGUCGAUACGCCGUUGGACAACUUUCAUUAGACUGAAGAUUUUCCUUUCCGCCCCGGCGCGGAAAUUAUCUGCGUUAAAAAAAUUUGUCACUCACAUUAAAAAAAUUAUCUGCGUCCCGCUAACACACUCUUUCACCUUCAAUGCACUGAGGAAAGAAUAUAUGCUAUGGAAUAUAUGGUAUGGUGUUUGGCUGGUCUGCUUUUUUCUUUUCAAUUAAUGUAAUAUUCUUAUGCUAUGGAAUUGAUUAUCAUAACUAAAGGAAAGAAUAUAUACUAUGGAAUAUAUGCUAUGGUCUUUGGCUGGUCUACUUUUUUCUUUUCAAUUAAUGUAUUAUUCAUAUGCUAUGGAAUAUGAAUAUUACAUUAAGGGAAAGAAUAUUUUUACACAGCACACUAUAAUACUCUAAUUACCAAUUUUUUAUCUUGUAAUACAAGUUCAUAGCGAUUAAUUUAUCCGUCUUCAGCCAAAAAAAAAGUCCCAUUUCAGCACAUAUACAAGCUAGAGCCCUCAUUUUUCUUUGCUUCAGCCAUUUUACAGCAGAAUCAUCACAGACACUUUGAGCUCUGCCGAAUCAUCAUAGACAAAUUGUGAUUGGUGGGAGCAUUACAAGAAAGGUACGACUACUUCGAACCGAUAGAUUUGUUUAUAUCAUUUAGCUAUCGUUUUAACUUUUAACAAUAAACAAGAGACAAUCAUGUACAUCAUUGGUUACAUAAAUAUUAAAAUGAGAUAAAUUUAUUCCUCUACUUGCCAGAUCCAUACAUAUUAAAAUGAGAUAAAUUUUAAGGUUUAAAAAUUUGCAAUUCAUCAAAAAUCUAGUGCGAUAUUAAGCAGUGAAAUCACUUAGGGUUAGUACAAGAGGUUUAUGAUUCCCUGACUCAUUUAUAUGGGUGGAGAGGGAAUUAGGCAAUGAAGAAUUGAUACAAAUUAAUAAUUAUAUUAUAAAAAGAAAUAAAUUUCAAGAGGGAUCAUAAGUUCAUAGAAGAUUGUAUGCCAGUUAUUUGUAAUGGAAUGGAGUUUUUUUGGAGAGGCUAUUUGGCUUGGAAUAUAUAUUGGAAUGAGAUUAUUUGAACCCACCGCAAUACUCUCUAAAAUCCACUUUUCAAUAAAAAAUUUUAGUUCAAAAUUUUCCUUAAUUAAAUUACUAUUUUAGCCAAAUAUUAUGUUGAUUUAUCUCCCUAAAGUUUUCAUUUUUUUUCACCCUUUUUUCUCUUUUCCUCUCUAUUUCCCCAAUUUUUUUUUUCCAGUCCUAUGUGGUUCUUAUAUUUUAAGGCUUCUAUUGGAGUAAGAUCUAUAUUCAAAUUGCUUAUCCAAAAAAAAAAAUUCUUUUAAAAUUUGCCUUUCCUUUACCCUCGAGUCACUAUUAGAUGUAUAUGCUCCUCAAGAAACUUUAGUAAUUGGAUUUCUAUUAAAUAUUUUAAUUUCAAAAAAUGAGAAGGUCACUAUACAAAUAUCAAAAUAUCACCAACUUAAUUAUACUAGUUAUAAUUGAGGGAAAUAAAAGACUUACUAUUUCUGUUUGAAGUUAUUAUGAUGAACAAAGAAAAAGGGGGGGGGGGGGGGAACAAGUCGCUGCAAUUGCAUCAAUUGAGGACAUGUUAAGAAACGUAUCAUUGAGAUAAGAUUUAAUUGAUAAAAUAAGAUUUACUAGAAAGUAGUGAGAGAAACAACUAACAAAAAUUCAUGAUACUUAUUGAGGGUAUAUUGAGAAUAUUUGUGGCUUUUUUGAGUAAAAAAUAAAGUUUUAAGUUGUGAUAAUAUGUUUAUUACGGAAAUGAGUUUAUUUAAUAUUACAGUGGAUUUAAGUAGCCUUACCCUUCAUAUUAUAAUAAAUUUUUACAUUACUCUAUAAUAGCCCUACUAUAGAGGACAAUUUAAUGAAAAUAUUGUUACUCUUAUACCUAUUAAAAGAAACAAUAUUAUCUUGUACGUACAAGAACGUUCUACUGCCCAAGUAAAAGUUUUAGUAAAACGUAUAAGAACUCUAAGGGUAAAGAGAAUUUCAUCAAGGUACUAUAGUAGUAUCUAAUGCUCUUUGCUAGUGUAAACUAUUUGCGCCACAUGUAGUAUUUCAAUCUUCACAAGUGGCAUUGCAUAUAGUGGCUCUUAUUUCAGUUCCUCAAAGGUACUCUAGAGGUACGUUAGCUUAUAAGCUAGUAUUUGGUCAUCAUGUGCUUCUUUUAAUGAAACAUGUGGUUCAUUUUGUCCAUAUACGAGAGCAUUUUGUGUGGAAUAACCUUGUAAAAUGCUCAUUUAUCAAGGACACAUGUCGUGUUGUCAGAACAUAGUAAAAAUAUGAUAUGCUAACCUAUGUGCAUUUAUGAAAAAUCAAAUGAAAACAAAGAACUAAAAAAAAAUGCAAAGGCUAAUUCAUAAUGUUUGAGUUUGAGAUGAUUAAUAUUUAAUUUUAUGGUUGCAAAGAUAAGAAUAAAAGUAGGUCUAGUGAGAAAUACCCUCAUAUUAUAAUACUAUUUAAAAUAAAUUUUGUUAUAAAAGAUUUUAUUUAAUAAGGUAUGGGGACUGUUCAAAAUAUAUUUUACAUACAAACUCAUAUGCAUGACGUAAUAGUAUGUCUCAUGCUAGGACUAGCAAUGGUCAAAUCAACCUAUUUUGAUAAGAUCCAUCAAAAUUAAUAUUUAAAAAAUUUAUCAUCUCAUUAUACAAUACACAGCUUUGCCAUCACAGCUUUGCCAUCUAGUAGAGAAUGAUUAGUUGGCACACCAUAGUUUACACGAAUAUUUCUAAUAUUUGAAUCGUCUGUUAGAAAAUUUUUAUCCUACCAUGAUCUUGUAAGUAAAAAUAUCAAAUAAAUAGUAAAUAGAAAAUAUACAGAGAAUAAAACCAAUCAUACAACACAAUAAUUUACGUGAAAAAUUCUUAUAUUGAAGAAAAACCACAGUCGCCAAAGAUGAUAAAAGAAAAAUCUACUAUUUAAAGAUCAUUACAAUUACUUUAAUAUUUUCCUCACAUAAAAAACCCUAAUAACAAAUAAUCUCUAAUUUCAGAAGCUGUCUACUUGUAUAGAAUUGAUUGUUGUGUUAUUCAAACAAGUGAAUCUAGCCUUUCGUAUAUAUUGUGAUUAUUUCAUAUUGGAAAAAUAUUUAUUUCCUUAAAUAAUAUUUAUUUCUCCUUUAAUAAGUUCUUUGGCAUUACUUAUUCCUUAAACAUGAACCCCCCCCCCCCCCGGAACAAGAAAAUUACUAAAUAAAAAAAUUCUAGGAAAUAUCCUAAUUUAGGAUUUACAAAUCUUCAUUGAAAAAGGAGAUAUGUUUCUUAAAAAUCUCCACUUUGGUGAGUUUUUCAAUUAAGCGACAAAAUAUAAUCCACCAUACAUCUAUGCAACCAUGUCGUCUCCCCCUUAUUUAGUCUACCAAAACCACACUAACAUAAGACUAAUGAGAAUCACUCCACCAUGAGCAAAAUCUUGUCCUCUAUCCAGCAGUCAUAAUUUUCUACAUCGAGAAUCAUCAUACUCCACAUUAUCCAGAGUACACAUGUUUUGUAACACUCCAAAAAUUACUCAUGAAAACACAAGGAUAAAAUUGGAAUGAAACUUUACAUCAUUUAUUCUUAUUAAUAAAUCUCAAGAUAGACAAUUAUUCAUACUCCAACUGAAUCCUUACAUAAAACAUCUGAAAUAAAGUCUAUAAAGAAAAGUCUCUAGUCCAAAAUAAAAAGUCUAGCCAAAUUCACUCUUGAAAGCAACUCCAAAGAUCCACUAAGAAAAAUUCUCCAUCUAAGCACCCAAGCCACAUUUCUAAUCAAUCUACAAAAUAUUGGAGAUGAGGGGUGAGCCGUCAACUCGGUAAGCAAAUCCAUGCACAAUAUUUGAAAACCUUGUCAUUUUACCUUUAAAUAUUUUAUAACAACAUCUUCAUUUAGCAUAAGGGGUGGAUUCAUAUAAAAGCAUUAAAAACAUUAAAACAUUCAUAAAAACGUUAAAACAUAAACAUUGGUAGCUCAUGCCUCGUAGUCAUCAUCAUUCAUCAUUCAUCAUUUAGGGUGUUAUACCCCGCAUUUUUCCUCAUUUAGGGUACUAUACCCCACAUUGUUCAUAAUAUCCUUGUGCACCAGAUCAUCAUCAUACCAACAAGCUGGCCUUAGCAUUUCAUAACAUCACAACAUUAACAUCAUAUACAUUACUACGGACUAUGAGCCAAAACAUUUUUGAAUCCACCUUACAUCUUUUCAUAAAUAGCAUUUAAAGUCUUCUAAAACAUUUAAGAACUUUUCUUUUACACAUUUAAUUCUUUUAAAAAAUUCUUUAAGAAAACAUUUAAUUUAAAAAAACUAAUUUCUUAAGAAAAAAUCAUUUGAAAAUACAUUUAUAUAAAUUCAUUUAGAAGCGUUUUUAUUUUACAAAAUUCAUUUAAAUAUUUUAGAAAUCAGUUUUGUAAAAAUCUCUAUUUAAACAUAAUUCUUAUAACAUAAUUCGUAUUUAUUAUAAAGGACAUCAUGCAUGAAUCUACUUAUCUCGAUCCAUAGCAAUCAAUUCAAUACCUCAAGAAUAACCAACGAGCUCACCCACGUCCUGUAAUCAUCAUAAAAAUAUUCUUAUGAAUAUCAUCUCUAACCUUAAACAUAAUCCCAGUCAUCCUUAAAUCAUAGGCACUUGUACUAGCUUAAUACUUAUACAUAUUCUAAACAUAUCCUAUACUUAUGAGUAUCUUGUACAUGCUGAUUUUUAAUAACCUAUACACAUGUCGAAAAACCAUGAAAAUUUACAGAGGCACUGUGAACAUGCAUAGCAUUGCAUACAAUAUUUCACAAAAAUCAGCACAAGUCAAAAUCGAGUCAGAAUAUUGGCCUUUCACCAAAGUAACAAAAUUGUCCAGCACUGACCAAAACAGACAUUUUCCAAUUAGAAAAUUCAUAAAAUUUUCUUUAGUACUCGAAAUAAUAUGUUUCUUUUUUCGAAUCACAGAAGAAACAUUCAGAAAGCACUAAUUAAAUUUCAUAAUUUUUGGACUCCUGAAACUAUUUUAAAACGUUUUAUUUCCGAGAACAUCUAACCCGUCCAGAAAAUCUUAGAGUUGAAAACAGAAUUUCAAAAAUUCGUAUCUUUUAUUUUACAUGCCCAAAAAUCACGAUUCCAUUUUUUAAAGACAGAGGAAAGAUUGAAAUUUCAUUAUAAAAUCCUAACAUGGCAUGUAAUAUUCAUAAACUAGCCCAACUGUUAUACGUUUCAGCUUCUGCAAUUCUGGAAAACAGUUUCCAGAUUUGCAGCAGCCACAUGUUACGGUUUUUAAUAAUUCAACCAUAAAGAAUAAAACUACGAAAUUAAACAUGCAAGCAUAGGAGACAUAUAUCUGUUGAUACAAAAAUCGCCAUAAUUUUUAAGGAUGUGUAACCUUAUAGAAAAAUUUCCAGAAUUGAGAACCGCUGCUGAAAAUCGGAAUUUUCCAGCACCAGUAACCCAACUUCGAAAACCCAUAACAAUUUGCAUAAUUAGACGAUUUCAACACAAAACCUAUCAAUGGAAAGCUUAGGAUGUCUAGUUCCAUGAUAUGUAAGCAUAUUCAUGUGAUUCUAAAUAGAGAAAACGCUUUCAAGCAAGGAAUAGAGACUGUUCAUAUCAUCACAACAUUACAAACACGCAUAUAUUACCCAAAUCAUACUACGAGUAAUUAAAGGCAAACAAUUCAAAAAAAUAAAUCAUAUAAGUCUAAGAAAUAUUUAAUACCUUAAGGAAAACACUAAGAAAAGAAGUUAUAAAACUUUCUUUUCCUUCUCCAAAGACUUAUGUUUCUUUCUUUUCUUUCUAGGGUUUGUAACGGUGUAGAAAAUAAAAGACGGCUUCCUCUUAAAUACUUGUCAAUUAAUAAAUACUUUUUUUAAAAUUUAAUAACUUAUGUAAUUUAUUUAAAGCAAUUUGAUAAAUUUUACUCACACACAAACACUCAAUAAUAAUUAUCCUACUCAAUUUUGAUAAGGGUAAAAGUAGAAAAAUAAAUAAAUAAAUAAAUAAAAGUGGGCGUUACAUGUUUGGCAUAUGUCGAUGACAUUUCUAAAAUUACCCACUCUCAUGUUUGGCUUUUUUGAGAGUCCUCAUCAAUCAACAUAAAAAUUUCAUCUCAUACCUUGCAUAAAUACUAAACUAGGGGUUGUGUGCAUAUCUUGUGGACCAAUUAGCAAUAACACAUCCUCUUCACGAAACACCAAUAGAUGUCAUAAUUACUAUCUCUUUCUGUUGAUUUAAAACUACUUUCCAAAUUUGCUAUAUUCCAACAAUCUCUUUUAAGAUGUUUUGAUUACCUACACUCGUCCAAGGGUUUCUACUAGUGGAAUAGGCCUUACAUUGUUCUUUGCUUUACUUGUAUAGACAUACUGAAUCAUUACGUUAUUGACUUGAGCUUCCCAUAAGCAAACAUUGAUUAUUCUGUCAAACUUUUUUGUUUCUAUCCUCAUAGGUUUUGAAAACCUCCUUGUUGCCAUAUUUGUUCUACAUUGCAACCUUAGCUCUAUUAUCACCUACUAAGAAAUAAUUAAUUCCACUUAAGAUUCGUAAGAAAAAAUAUCAAAUAAAUAGUAAAUAUAAAAUAGAUAGAAAAUAAAGCCAAUCAAAUAAUACAAAAUUUACAUGAAAACUUCUAUAUUGGAAAAAAACUAUAAUAGCCAAGGACAAUAAGAGAAAAAAUUAUUAUGUAAAAAUUAUUAUAAUUACUCUAGUAUUUUUUUAACACCUAAAACACCAAAAGCACCUAAUCUCUUAAUAGAACUAUCUUUUCUCUCGCAGUAAAAACUAUAUGCUUACAGACAAUCGAUUGUUAUAUUAUGCAAAUAAGUAAACCUAAUCUCCAUAUAUACAUAUAUAUGUGUGUGUGUGUGUGUGUGUAGGUAUGUAUGUAUAUAUGUAUGUAUGUGUAUGUAUGUGUGUAUAUAUAUAUACACACAUAUAUAGAUACCUACAUACAUACAUACAUAUAUAUAUGUACAUGUAUGUACAUACAUACAUACAUACAUACAUACAUACACACACACACAUACAUGCAUACAUACAUAUAUGGUUUGUAUUCCUCUUUGAAUAAGUUAAGUUCUAAAGAGAAAAUUACUUAUUUCUUAAAUAUGAAUUAUCUUCAAUAAGAAAACUGAAAAGUGUAGAAAAUUCCUAAUUUAGGACUUAAAAAUCUUCUUUGAAGAAAGAGACAUCUCCCAAUAUCCUCAAAUCCUCUUUACAAUGCCACCAAUCUCUUUUGUGACUAGCCCAGUUGAAACUUUUAAUUGAUGGGCUGUAAUUGCCAAUAUCCAAAAUAUCCAAAUAAAACAAAUUUCCAUAGGUAUAUUGGUAGAUUGAAUGACAACUAACAAACACGUGAUUUGAUUAACUUAUUUCCAAAAAAAAAGAAAAAAAAAAGAUACAAUGGAUGAACAUAAGACUCUUUCAACUCAUGGAAUUCAUCAAUACGGCCUUGGCUGAUCCACCUCAUGACUAGUAGAGUUCAAACCCCCGCUAAAUAGUAAAAAAAAAUAUUUGGAUUAUUAAUUACUCUUUCUUAAGUCUAUUUAAACUUAACUUUGAGAAUUAUGAACGUCUACACUUUAAUUAAAACAAUACAAGCCCACCCGUUUGUAUUUAAAAUUUUGUUUGAAUUUAUUCACGAGCAACAAGAAUAGUAUAAAUGGAAAAAAAAAACCAUCAAAUAAUAUCCCAUGACUCUGUUUCUUCAAUUUCAGGAGCAAUGGUGGAAUCAUAUUUUCCGAUUGAAAAACUUUUGGAAAAAUUAGUGAGCUCUACUUGUGAAGAACUUUUAUUGUUCUACGGUGUCAAAAAUGACUUACAAAAAUUAAAGGAGACGUUAACCACUGUCAAAAGUGUGGUUUUGGAUGCUGAGGAAAAGCAAAUCCAUAAUCGCCGGUUAAACGAUUGGCUGGGAAAGCUUAAGGAUGCUUGUUAUGAUGCAGAAGAUGUGUUGGAUGAAUUUGAGGUGGAAAAUCUACGAGGAAAGUCAUGAAGCAAAGAAGCAUCGGAAGAAAGUUUCGUAACUUUUUUGGAAGCUCAAAUCCGAUAGCUUUUCGUUUUAGAAUGGGUCAUCAAAUCAAGAAAAUUCGAGAGAGGUUUGAUGAGAUUGCAAAAUUGAGGGGUGAGUUUAAUCUCAUUGAACGACUUGACGAUCAUCGGCUAGUUGGGCACAAAGAAAGGGAACCCACUCACUCGUUUGUGCUUUCAUCAGAUAUUAUUGGAAGAGAUAAAGAUAGAGAAAAGAUUAUUGAACUAUUGAUGCAAACAAGUGACGGCGAAAGUGAAACUGUGUCUGUGGUUCCUAUUGUGGGACUUGGAGGUUUGGGCAAGACUGCACUUGCAAAAUUGGUGUACAAUGAUCAAAGGGUAGAAGAGCAUUUUGAGUUGAAAAUCUGGAUAUGUGUUUCUGAGGAUUUUGAUGAGAGACAAAUUAUGACAAAGAUUAUCAAGUCGAUAACUGGUCAAAACCAAGGUGACUUGGAUACAGACCAAUUGCAGCGAAUCUUGCGAGAUCGUUUGAAUGGUAAGAGAUACUUGCUUGUUAUGGAUGAUGUAUGGAACGAAGAUCCUGAAGCAUGGCGUAAAUUAAAAAGCUUAUUCUUGGGAGGUGCUAACGGAAGCAAAAUUUUGGUAACCACACGUAGCAGGAAGGUUGCUUCAAUCAUGGGCACGAGGGGAGGUACUACUGGCUACAACUUACAAGGUCUACCAUUCGAGGAUUGCUUGUCUUUGUUUAUGAAAUGUGCAUUUAAAGAAGAGCGAGAUAAACAUCCAAACCUCAUAAAAAUCGGGGAAGAAAUUGUGAAAAAAUGUGGAGGAAUUCCUCUGGCAGUCAGAUCACUAGGAAGUCUACUAUAUGACUCAACGGAUGAACAUUUUUGGGAAUAUGUGAGGGAUAAUGAGAUAUGGCAGUUAGAGCAAAAGGAAAGUGGUAUUUUACCUGCUCUGAGGUUAAGCUACGAUCAAUUGCCGCCUCACCUGAAACGAUGUGUUGCUUAUUGUUCAAUCUUUCCCAAGGAUUAUCAAUUUUAUGGUGAUUCUUUGGUUCAAUUUUGGAUGGCUCAUGGUCUUCUCCAAUCGCAUAAUAAGAAAGAAGAGUUAGAAGAUAUUGGUAUGCGGUACUUGAAGGAAUUACUAUCAAGAUCUUUCUUCCAAGAUUGGACUUUUGGGAUUUCAGGAAUGGAGUCGUUCACUUUCAAAAUGCACGACCUUAUGCAUGAUCUUGCCCUGCUAGUGGCCAAAGAUGAAUUCCUAGUAGUGAACUCUGAUCGUCAAUCUAUUCCCAAAAGUGUCCGUCAUUUGUCAUUUGCUGCUGCUACUGCAUCAAGAAAUGACUUUUCAAGCCUUUUGUCUGAUCUAGGUCGUGUGAGAACCAUUUUCUUUUCAACUGAUGAUGAGAAGACAAGCCAAUCAUUUGUUGAAUCAUGCAUCUCAAAGUCGCAGUUCCUGAGAGUGCUAAAUUUAAGUGAAUCUUCUAUUGAGGUUUGUUCCAGGAAGAUGGGAAAUUUGAAGCACAUGAGGUAUCUUGAUCUGUCGAGAAAUUAUAAAAUCAAGAAACUUCCAAAAUCCAUUUGCAAGCUACAGAGUUUACAAACACUGGAUCUUGAAGGAUGUCUGGAGCUAGAAGAGUUGCCUAAAGACAUAAGGUACCUUGUCAGUCUCAGAGUGUUAGUGCUAACCACAAAACAGAAGUCUUUGCAAGAGAUUGGAAUAAGGAGCUUGGGUUCUCUUCGUUGUUUGACAAUUUCUGGUUGUAGGGAUUUAGAACAUUUGUUCGAGGAGAUAGAUCAAUUAAGUGUCCUUCGAACAUUAGUAAUUGUUAGUUGUCCUAGUCUAAUCUCAUUGCCACCUGCUAUCAAAUAUCUCAGCUCAUUAGAGACUCUGAUUUUGUCGGAUUGUGAAAGCCUUGAUCUUAAUCUGAACGUGGAAAUGGAAGGUGAAGGAAGUCAUCAUGAUCGCAAAAACACAAGGCCUCACAUUCGGAGGGUUUUCAUCGGGGAAAUAACACAGUUAUUAGAACUGCCACAAUGGCUUCUUCAAUGUUGUACUGAUUCUUUACAGAGCUUGUUAAUUUCUGAUUGUCCCAACUUCUUGGCACUACCAGGGUCUCUAAAAGAUCUCGAAGCUCUUGAAACUCUUGUCAUCGGGAAUUGUCCAAAAUUGUCAUCGCUGCCGGAGGGUAUGCAUCACGUCACAACUCUGAAAUCAUUGACCAUUAUAGGAUGUCCUGCACUGAGUGAACGAUGCGAACCGCCAACAGGUGAAGAUUGGCCCAAGAUUGCACAUAUCACUCAGAUUGAUAUGGAUGGUUCCCCAGUUUCAGUGCGUUGAAGACGAGAUAAUCAAAUCAAGAGAUAUUUAGGUAUGGAUUUUUUUUUUCAAUAAGCAUACCACUCUGUUAUAUUUCCUCUUUUCAUGCAGCUUUGUAAUUUUUAAUUUCUCAUACAGCUAUACCGUUUAUAGUUUAAUGUUUUGUUAUGUUUACCAAACGAAAACUGGACUUUGAACGUUAGUUAGUUCAAUCAAACUUGUACUAAUUUAUUUUCUUCUAAUAGAUAAGUAGUUUGUCAGUACAAAACACAAAAAUAAAAUUUUGGAAACCGCACUGUUCUAGGGGUCAGAUCUGUUUCUAAAUUCAAACAGUUCAGGAUUUUUCAAAAUGGAACUUAUAAUGAGAUUUUUUUUUUAAUUAUCUAGUUAUCUUCAUAUGGAAUUUCAAUCUUUGUUAAUACUUUAACUUGCGCCGAAACAUCUAACAAUUCUUCCUCUUAUCCUUUUUUUUUCCCAAAUAUUGCAGCUUUCUUGGGAGAGGUUCAACCAAACUGCAGGGACAGUGAAAAUAUUACUCUAACGUUUUUCAGAACAGAGCUUCAAAGGUUUUAAUGUUGAUAAACAAGUACAUUGAGUGAGGUAUAUGUGUGUGCCUGUGUGGUCAUCACAAACAGUGAAAAAGUCAUUUUAUCAAAUGAUUUGGUGAAAUUUCAAGUACUUUCAGCUUGGUUUUUGCAGUUAAUAGGAAGUAGUUUGGUCUUGGGAUGUGGUAUAUGUAUCAAGUUCUUAUUGCUGGUGAACAUUACUGGUUUAGUGUGUGAUCAUUUACUAUCACUGCAUGCAUUAUCAGUUUAUUUUAUUAAACUAUCCCAAAUCAGUAACGAAUCCUCAAUUCCCUCUGUUUUCUUUGGAUCCUAGUAGUGUUUGGCAUGCAUCAACUAGUGUUCAUGCAUGUGUCGGUUCAUCAUAGACAACUUCAGCACACAUACAACGGCCCUCAUUUCUCCUUGCUCCAAUCAAUCGAUGGCAGAAUCAUCACAGACACCUUGAGCUCUGUCGAAUCAUCAUAGACAAUUUGUGAUUAGUGGGAGCAUUACAAGAAAGUUACGACUACUUCAAACUGUUAGAUUUGUUAAUAUGAUUCGGCUAUAGUUCUAUAAUUGGUGAGUUUUUGUGGGUUUGUUUGAUAUUUUUUUGUGGGUUUGUUUCUUAUAAUCUUUAUCCAGUCAAAGCAAACGUUCGCCUCUCACAUUGACGGUUAGGCUAGAUGUUUGACCCUGAAUAAGAUGAUUGAGUUUAUUAUAGUCUUCUUAUAUUGUCGGUUCAAUAUCAUUUUGAAAUAUCACAUCAAUUUCACUUUUGGAGUUUUAAUCCAUGCCCAGUUACACCUUUAUUUUACUUUUAAGCUGCAACAUUGAGUCACAUUCUUUUUCUGUUAUUAUUACGAUUAGCGACUGGUACAGUGGUAUUUGAACUGCAUAGCGUGUCAACAUUCACUCUAAAUGUCUUAGAAACUCUGUCUAUCACUAAUUUCCUAGAACAGGCCUCGUUGACAGUCAAAGAUUUGAGGCGUCUUUGUCAUCGUAGUUAUAAUUGAUUGUGGAGAGUGAAAACGCACUGUGAUGAAUGAAUGCAAAAGCUAUGUAAUUAAGACUACAUUUCUUAGGUUGGUGACCACAAAUAAUCGGAAGGAUAUUCACAAUAGUGUUAUUGAAGCUCUAUAUGGAAUAAGGAGACCAAACCUGUAUGUGAUAAGAGUUGUAUGAAUACCAAAUGAAUUGUAAGAGGAUAUGGUUACUUUAGAUUGCAAUUUAAGAAUGCUUGAGUUCUAAAAGCACAGAAAUGGGAUCAGUCUCUUGCUCGAGGGUAAACUCCUUCGUCAGUUAGUGAACUGUCCAUCAAAAGUAAAUAUUUAUGUGAUUGAGAGAAAUUUUGGAUUUUUGAUGAAAACAAAAAUCCUGUAUGCAUUUGCUUGCCCCCAAGGAGCUGAAGAUUCUCAAAUUGUUUGUAGACGUAAUAGUUCUUCUGAUAUCAUUUGGCUUGCUAAUCUUUCUUGCUCGAAAAUUUGCCCGUUGUGUGGUCUUGAUGGUGGGUGAAAUUGAUGUGUGGUUUCAGAUGAAGACGGCAGCAGAUAUGUGUGUGCCAUAUGACAUCGAGAAAAAGCAAAAGCCUUAAAGAGUUCAUCAACAUUUUCCAUUCAGAAGAAUCUGUUUUGUGGUUUUCAUGCUCGAGUGCCUACUUUUCAGUAUGCAAGCAGAGGAUUUGGCAUUAAUUUGGGGAAGCCUUUUUUUUGGGUAUAUGAGUGUGUGCAUUCCUUCAAUCACGUAGCUUUGUGCCAUUAACAUAAUGGCAAUUCCACAAUUGUGAUAAUGAGAAUUUUAUGAUUGGGGCAUAUUGUUAGGAACUCUUUACUGGUUUUUCUUUCCCCAUCUGGAUCUAUGAUUAAGGUUGUUUAAGGUGUUAUGGCUUUUAAUCUGCAAUCAUUGCGAAAGGGACUCACUAGCCGGCAAAUAAUAAAACAUGGUGCUGUCAAAUUUUAUAAGGAUUAUAUAUACAUACUCUUUCGUCUUCAAUGCACUGAAACUGGGGAACCAUCUAUAUGAUUUUCAUUCAGAAAAACCGGCGGGAACUAAUGACUUUCAUGAUUAAAAGUAGGAUUAUCGGAUUAUGGAGCAUUGUUAUGUAACGUUUUAUGGUUAUCUUAAGGAAAAAGUUGGCUUGGAAAUUAACUGAAAGGCAAUAUUCAUUCUAUCAUAAAACAAGUGUUUUUUUCACAAGGGGAGAAGGUUCCCUUUAUAAUUUACUAAUUUAUGCAACCGUUAAUAUUAAAAGAAAUUUUUUUUUAUAUUAAGGAUGAUGAUUCUUUUUCCCUUAGUAAAGUCUGUAUAUAACAUAUGAUGUGGUAAGCAAGGAAUCAAUUUAUCCCCUAUUUUGUUUUUCUUACUUUUUUUUCCCAAAAUAUUGCAACUUUCUUUGAAGAGGUUCGGCCAAACUGCUGAGACCGUCAGUACAGAGGUUCAACGGUUUUUUAAUACUGCAUUUUAAAAUUACAUGUAUUAUAUAUUCAUUACUUGUGAUUAUGUAAUUUUCUGAUGAUAAGUACAUUGAGUAAUGUAUAUAUGUGUGGCUGUGUGAUCAUUACUGAUAAUCUUAAUCAUAUAUUUCAAUACCAAUAAUGUUUCAGAAUUUCUCAAAUUCUCAGAAUAUACUCUCAAAUUCAUGUUUAUACUCUGUUCUUUCUCUUUCUCCUUCCUGGGUAAAUAUAAUUCAUUUGAUCGGGCUCUAAAUCCAUUUGAUCAGCAAUUAUUCUUUACGAGUUUGGCAAUCGAGCAAACUGAUUAUCAGUUGGCAAACUAAUUAGAUAUUGCAUUUUGGCCUUGAAGUGAAAUUAGUGAACAUGUUUCUUGAGGGCUCUUUUUAUAAGACACUUGAAGAAGAAAAUUCAUAUUUUUGCAAUGCUUCUUUCUCAAUAUAAAAUGAGUAAUUCGAAAGAAAAUUUAUUAUAGUAGAAACUACAACAAAAAGUUUUAAGUAUUGUUAAUCACAUCAUCAUAUUACGGUAUUACCAUUUAAUUUUUUAUUUUUAUCUAGUUUAAAUGAAAAAUUAAAGAAGCUUGGAACUUGGAGGGUAAUUUGAAUUCCGAAACGGCACCGUUUCACCUCGACCCACUAGAUACAAACUGAUUAUGAGUGAUACCAACGAUUGACCACUGUGACAGAGAGCCUCUCUCGGCGACGCCGACGGCCAGCUUUCACGCUCAUCUGCCGUCAUAUUCGCCAGCCGCCUGCUGUCACUCCGUCUUUGUUGUUGCGCCGGUGAAGGUGAGUACCGAGUUGCCAGUUGAGUUCAAUGGUUGUAUUUUGUAAUAGCAAUUAUAAUUAUCGGGUUUAAUUUGGGACAAUUUUGAUCAUCAAACUUUGCCAUGUUUCGUAUGACUCUGUUCUGUCUCACAUAGCAGGUUCUUGGUAGUUCGUACUCAUCAAUGUAUCCUGAUCGUGGUAUGGGAGGCAGCAGUUACAUGGGUAGUGGUGGUUCCGGAUCAUACUAGUGCUACGGUAAAAAUUGAAUUGUAAGUGAAAUUUUCUUUUAUGUAAAAUUACAAUGAUAUGAUUUUCUUGGUGUAUCAUAAACUGAGGUAUAAUGGUUCACCGAAGACUUUGGCAUCUCUCCAGUUUGCUAAGACGUAUGGCUCACAACGAAGGAAUCUACGGUAACAAGUGAAUAUUCUAUGGAACAGACUUGAGAUGAUGACAAAGAGGGUGCUGUAAGUGUAGGGUGUGGACUAUAUGAAGCUUCUCACACUAGGAUGCUUGCUACUUUGGAGAGGAUCAAGUUGCUGAGCCUAACAGCCUCCAUAUGUCACGGGAAGGGCUGCACUGGUUUAGGCCAUUCUUGGUUCUACAGACUGAUUACUUUGUCAAGUCUUAAUGCUGCAAGGAAACUCCCCUCAGUGUGUGAUAUGUACGAAUUGCUUCUUUACUUUUCUGUAUAAGAACUCCACUCGAUGGACAGUGUGGAGGCAUCUGUAUAAAUCUGUUUAUUGGAACCGACCCUGUCUUGAUCCGAAUUUUAAAACCUAAUCGAAUUUUAAUAUCGAACCCAACCGGAUAUCUCGAUUCGAUUCGGUUUGGUUUUAAACUCGGUUCUAUUUUUUAGGAACCGCCAGCUUGGGUACGGAACCGAACCAAACCAAACCGUACACUGUGUGCCUCGGUAAAGAGUUUGAUUUCUCUAUUUUAACCUUAAUUAAAUAUUGAUUUCCAAUUUUACCCUUUAACAAAACUAAAUUAAAUAACAAUAAUUUUCACUUCCUUUUUUGAUUUCAUUUUACGGCUCAACAAAACGGGGUUUUUAAUUAAAUAUGCCUUAAAAGUACGGUAUUUAGUUAAAUAUACCUCAUGCUUGAAAAUUAUCUAAAUAUGCCUUUUUAUGUGGUACAUUGUCUAAAAUGUCCCUAAAGAAAAAUAUAAAACACACACAACUCACAACACUCUUUACUUCACUCUUUAACUCCACACAACAAAAACUCACACUACACUCAAAAUCACUCACAAACAGAUAAUGCACUGAGAUUUUUAUUUGCAGCUGGGUGUAUUAUUCAUCCCAUGAAUAAGGUAUUUGAAACUUUUUAUUUUUUAUUUUGGGCUAUCUAUUCAAUUUGUUGACAUUAUAUUAUUUUUAGGGUUUUGUUUGGUUUGUGAUAAACACUAAAGCAACUCUUAUUUUUAUUACAUUUGCAUCAUAUGAUUGUUAUUUGAUGGAUUUUAUAACUACAUUCGUUAAAACCUGAAGUUGUUGUCAAAUUUUUUUUCUGCACCCGACAUACACGACAGUAGUCGUGUAUGUAUGUAUUUACACGACUGUAGUCGUGAAAAUGUGCAAAAAAAAAUCAAUUAUUAUGACACCUUAUCAUUCUAUUGGUUCAAAAAAUAUAUUUUUUUCACUAUAUUUAUCAUUUUACUAUUACUGCACUAUAGUCGUGUGUGUUAAUAAGUUACACGACUACUAGCAUGUACGUAUAAACUUACAUACUAUAAUUGUGUAUAUAUGUAAAAUGUUCCAAUUGGUAUGAGAUCCCAACAUUUUUUUAAGAAGAAAUGUCCUUUGAUUAUUUACUGAGUCAUGUAUUUUUGCAACUUACACGACUUCUGUCAUGUAUGUAUGAAUUUACACGACAACAAUCGUACAAGUUUGAAAGAUAUAGUAGUUGUUAUGACACCUAACAUUCUGUUAGUACAAAGAUUAUGGUUAUAUUUUAUUAAAUAUAUCAUCUGACUGUUUACAGAACUAUAGUUGUGUAUUUUAGCAAGUUACACAACUAUUAUCGUGUAAACUAUCAAUUACACGACGUCAAUCGUGUAAAUAGGCAGACAAAUCCACACUUCAUUUUAAGUCUUGUGAACAUGCAUUAGCUGUUUGUAGGUAUCGAGAAACAUUGUCUGUAUAUGACAUGUGUUCUCGUUACUAUUCCAGUGAAGCAUGGGUUGUAGCAUACGCAGAAACAAUAUAUCCUGUUGGCAUAGAAGAAGAAAUUAGAGGUUUCAGAAAAAGUGCAAAGUAAUGAGGUGUUGCCCCCUGUGGAAAAGUGGAAAAGGGGUCGGCCACAACAAAUUAGGAUACCAUCACAAGGCGACGAAAAGUUACGCCGUAAGUGUGGUAGGUGUGGUUCUCGAGGACAUAAUCGACUAACUUGCAGUGCACCAAUCCCACUGUCUAACAAUGAGCCCGUAGUUAAAUCGAAUGAAACAUAAACAAGCACAUGUACUACUAUGAACCUUAUAUACUUGUUAUUUUUUGUUGUUUUAAUUUUUUUAAUAUCUUUCAUAUUUAGUGAUAAAUUUCUACCUUUUGUUUCACAGAUGAAUAACUGUGUUUGUGUGGCUUUCUAAGAAUAAGUAUUGAAGGGAGGCGACUAGAGGCUUAUAAAAUAUGGACCGAGUGUUUGGGUUGAAUAUGCCAAAAAUUUAUGAUGAAUGUUAAACAACUUCUAUUGUAUUACGACUUAUUUACGAUUUCAAUAAGUAUUGAAUUUAUGUUAUUUAAUAAGCAACCGGACUAUAGUUAAUUUCAUUUAUUUGAAGUUUGAUAUGUUUAAAAUCUAUAUUGAUUGUGUCAUCAAUAUAAUGAAUGAUUGAAAAGAGUUUUUAUUCUGUGCACAUACCCGAGUACAAUCGUGUAUUUUGGCUGUUACAGAACUACUCAUGUUUAUUUCUAAAUACUCGACUACAGUCGUGUAUCUGUGCAAAUACCCGACUGUCACAGAGAGCUUGUCAUGUUUAUUUCUAAAUACUCGACCAUAGUUGUGUAUCUGUGCAAAUACCUGACUGCAGUCGAGUAUUUUGUCACAGAGAGCUUAUUAUGUUUAUUUCUAAAUACCCGACUGCAGUCGUGUAUCUGUGCAAAUACCCGACUGCAGUCGAGUAUUUUGUCACAGAGAGCUUAUUAUGUUUAUUUCCAAAUACCCGACUGCAGUCGAGUAUUUUGUCACAGAGAGUUUGUCAUGUUUAUUUCUAAAUACCUGACUGUAGUCGUGUAUCUGUGCAAAAACCCGACUGCAAUCGUGUAUUUUCUUACAGUGUAUUCCCUGUGCAUAUAUGGCAAUCCUGUUAUAUCACAUAGAUUGUACAAACUAUCUUAUCUAUCAUUAAUAUAAUUAACAAAGAAAUAAAUUAUAUUAAUGUUGUCAAUUUUCUUUAAUGACAUCAAAUAUCAACAACAUCCUCAUCAUAACUAUUACAUCUCAUAGUCCAAAAAAUGACACUACAAAGUUUUUUUUCAUGACCUAUGCCUAAAUAAUUUUACAGCCAAGGCUUGUCGAAAUUGUGUAACAUGAUCUUGUUGGCAAUAUAAAUUGACAUCAAGUCCAUGGGCUAGGACCUUUAAGUACCGCAACAAAAAUGCUCCACAAUCACCACUAAAAAAAUUCAUAUAAAUCAAUUGUUAAAAAUCAUCAUUUUAUGUGAUUUCAGCAUUGAAGUAUUUGCAGGUACUAUACAAAGGCAUUAUAGUUCCCAAUCAAGAAUAUGGAAUUUGUCUCGACAACUUGAAUAACAAAUCUCUGUACUUCCCAGUUUCAAAGUACUGGUAACAGAAACACAUUUUGGCAGUAACACAUUUUUCCAGUUUUUCCAUAGUUCUCAUCACCUUGUGACAAAUUUGUAAAUCACAAGUUAUUCCUCUUUUUCUCUUUUAUAAUAUAACAUUAUUAAUCAAAUAAAAUGCAAUUAAUUUGUUCAAUGACUUUAUCACAACUUCAUGAACUAAUUUCAAGACAACUCCUAGUCUUAGUUCUCAACUGCAAGUAUUGAAGUUGGGUUGAUUAUUUCUUGAUAGAAGUGACACCAAAAUCGAAAUUGAUGUGCAUUUUAUAUGUGUAAUUUGCCCAAAAAGAAUUAAAGAUUCAAGAACCUUGCAAGGAGAGAAAGUUGCCAUGUGUGCAAAUGUGGUCCACUUAAAUAAAAAUGAAAUUCUGGAGACAAACAAAACAACAAAAUGUACACGUUGCCAUCUGCAUUCACUCAAAACUCAAUUCGCUUAACCGGGCCAUAUACUCCUCAUGGAUGGAAAGUAAAAUCCUAGUCUCACCUAACAUUUUCACAGAUAUUAAAUUGAUAAAUUACCUUCAAUUUUUCGUUUUACUUGUUUUGGCGCGUUUCAACGAGAGUGUAGAAGAGUUGUUGUAAAAUGGCAGGGAUUUGUAAAAUGGAAGAUGAGACGCUGAAGGAGAGUGGGGGAAUUGCAGCUACUGGUUUGCACAGAAGCGGCGUCGUUUUACUUGUUUUGCUGCGUUUCGGCUAGAGUGUGUAGAAGAAUUGUUGUAAAAUUGCAGGGAUUUGUAAAAUGGAGGAGGAGAAAUCAGAAGAAGGGGCUGAAGGAGACGCUGCUCAUGAGAGAAUUGGGGGUUUUGUUAAUUGGUUGUGGUAGUUUGGUUGAUUUAGGUUUUUCAUUAGGUUAAUUUCGUAACUGCACAUUAGAAAAAGUAUAUACAGUGAAUUUUUGAGUAUGAGGGUGUUUUUAGAUAAAUACCCUAUUUUUAGGGUAUACCACGGACAAAUCCCUGCAACGGAAUCUCUCAAAACCGUUGUUCUGAACUUCCGGCGGCUUUCAGUACCGGCGAAGGCUGAAGAUUCAAGCAAUAGAGCUGCUCAUGAUGAGGGGAAGGAGAAGAAGACUUAGCGAGUUCGCAAGAACGUAUAUAGAGGAAUAAGGGAGAGGCCGUGGGAAAAAUGGGCAGUUGAAAUUAGAGACCCUUUCAAGGGCGUCCGCGUUUGGCUCGGCACACUUUCAACACAGCCGAAGCCACCAAGCGUAUCCGCGGCAACAAGGCCUAGCUCAACUUUGCUCUGCCGCCGCCGGCGCCAAUAACUCCACCUCUAGCUAAGAAACGCUGCACGCUAUCUCCUGCUAUCCCCUGAGUUACUCAGCCGAGUUUUGAAGAUUACUUUUUUUUUUCUUUUGGGCUUUCAUUGGUUUAUCAUUUGAGUCUACAAACAAAUUGUAUUCUUUUUCCCUAAAUUGUGAACACUUGGGGUUUUUAUUGUUGAAAUGCUUUAUUAUUUUUCGAUGACCAAGUAAUGUGAAUCAAUGUUCUCUUUAAAUAAUUUUCCCCUGUCCUUGCAUGUUCUACCGGUCAUUAUUUUUUAUUUGAAUUUGAAGAAACUUUCUAAGUGCAUACACCCAUAUGAAGUCGAAGAUCUUCCAGACAAGGUGGCAUCCAUCAAGAUCAAGAAAUUUUACUGCUUAGCAUGUGUUAUAUUUAUGGAUUGGCUAUUGAAAAAAUAAUGUUUGUACUGAUGCAGAUGCAGGAACUUUACACAUCUUAAGUUUACGUGAUAUUUUUUUCUUUUUUGACUCUGUUAGAUAGUUGUCAGUUAGUUAACCAAUUUAUGUUACUCUUCCUUGGCUAGCCAAUUAAGAACUCAUGUUUGCUGGAUUGUAAAGCCUACAUCUGGAAGCCACAGGUGAUUUUAUUUGAAGGCAAUUUGUUCUAGGCUAUAUGCGGAUUUCUAUCAUGAUUUCUGUAAGCUUGAAGGAGAUUUUUUUUAUGCGUGAGAGCUUGAAAAUUAUAUAUGUACAUGUUGAAACUAUUGGAUAUAUGUUAAGAAUCAAGCAUAAUUGUGUCGAGAUGAAACCAUAAUUUGGGUGCUGUUUUAUGAGUAAACUAUCUGCAAUUUGGGUGCAGUAAACCUAGGUUGAAUACCGGGACAUGGUAUAAAAGUGAAAUCACACAUUGAGUCUCGCAUAAAGAUUUUAAAGAUGCAAAUUCGAAUUGUACAUGAGAUGUUAUCUUGAUCGAAUUGCAGCGGCUUUGUUUUGGAUCCAGAAAACAAAAUUGUAAGCACAGAGAAGUCUCUAUGGGAUGCUUAUAUUAAGGUGCAUAAUGGCCUCAUUGAGUUUUGUGUUGUUGUUCUACGUUGUUUGAGUUUUGUGCUUCUGUUCUUUGUUGCUGCUUUUGCUACCGAUUUUGGCUAUUUUCUGCCACUCUGUUAUUUGCUAUUUUUUACUACUUUGGCUGCUGAUUUUUGCUGUUUUCGCUGCUUUAGCUGUUGUUUUGUCUGCUUUUUUUUUUUUUUUUUACUGCUCUUAUUGUUGAUUUUUGCUGUUCUCUAUCGUGUUUUACCCACUGGUUGUCGCAUGUUUAUUAAUACUGUUUGCUGCUGUUUUUUGCUGCUAAUUUUUUUUUUUUUUUUUCUGUUUUCUGCGGUUAUUUGCUGCCGUUGCUGUUUUACUCGCCAGUUGAUGAUGUUUUGUGGUUCUCCUCCUCCUCGAGUGCCUACUUUUUCCAGUGUGCAAGCAUAUCUGUUGAGAGUGGCUGAUGAAAUCACUAAACUGUUACAGUUGAUCUCAUGCUUCUCUAGAGAAGGAAUUAGACUUAUUUUGGUGAAGGGGUUUUUUCUGGUUUUUAUAUCAGUGUGUGCGUUUCUUCAAUCAUGUAGCUUUGUGGCAUUACGAUCGAUAAUGUAAUUUGCUGAUGAUAAGUACACUGAGUGAUGUAUAUAUGUGUGGCUGUGUGAUCAUUACUGAUAAAUUCAUUUGAUCAGCAAUUAUUCUUUACGAGUUUGGUAAUCGAGCAAACUGAUUAUCAGUUGGCAAACUAAUUAGAUAUUGCAUUUUGGCCUUGAAGUGAAAUUAGUGAACAUGUUUCUUGAGGGCUUCUUUUAUAAGACACUUGAAGAAGAAAAUUCAUGUUUUUGCAAAACUUCUUUCUCAAUAUAAAAUGAUAAUUCGAAAGAAUAUUUAUUAAAGAAGCUUGGAACUUGGAGGGCAAUUUGAAUUCUGAAACGGCACCGUUUCACCUCGACCCACUAGAUACAAACUGAUUAUGAGUGACACCAACGAUUGACCGCUGAGACAGAGAACCUCUCUCGGUGACGCCGACGGCCAGCUUUCACGCUCAUCUGCCGUCAUAUUCGGCAGCCGCCUGCCGUCACUCCGUCUUUGUUGUUGCGCCGGUGAAGGUGAGUACCGAGUUGUCAGUUGAGUUCAAUAGUUGUAUUUUGUAAUAGCAAUUACAAUUAUCGGGUUUAAUUUGGGACAAUUUUGAUCAUCAAUCUUUGCCAUGUUUCGUAUGACUCUGUUCUGUCUCACAUAGCAGGUUCUUGGUAGCUCGUACUCAUCAAUGUAUCCUGAUCGUGGUAUGGGAGGCAGCAGUUACAUGGGUAGUGGUGGUUCCGGAUCAUACUAGUGAUGUGGUAAAAAUUGAAUUGUAAGUGAAAUUUUCUUUUAUGUAAAAUUACAAUGAUCUAAUUUUCUUGGUGCAUUAUAAACUGAGACAUAAUGGUUCACCGAAGACUUUGGCAUCUCUCAAGUUAGCUAAGACGCAUGGUUCACGACAAAGGAAUCUACGGUAACAAGUGAAUUUUCUAUGGAACAGACUUGAGAUGAUGACAAAGAGGCUGCUGUAGGGUGUGGACUAUAUGAAGCUUCUCGCAUUAGGAUGCUUGCUACUUUGGAGAGGAUCAAGUUGCUGAGCCUAACAGCCUCCAUAUGUCAUGGGAAGGGCUGCACUGGUUUAGGCCAUUCUUGGUUCUACAGACUGAUUACUUUGUCAAGUCUUAAUGCUGCAAGGAAACUCCCCUCAGUGUGUGAUAUGUACGAAUUGCUUCUUUACUUUUCUGUAUAAGAACUCCACUUGAUGGACAGUGUGGAGGCAUCUGCAUAAAUCUGUUUAUUGGAAUCAACCCUGUCUGAUCCGAAUUUUAAAACCGAAUCGAAUUUUAAUAUCGAACCCAACCGGAUAUCUUGGUUCGAUUCGGUUUGAUUUUAAGCUCGGUUCUAUUUUUUAGGAACCGCCAGCUUGGGUACGGAACCGAACCAAACCAAACCAAACCGUACACUGUGUGCCUCAGUAAAGAGUUUGAUUUCUCUAUUUUAACCUUAAUUAAAUAUUGAUUUCCAAUUUUACCCUUUAACAAAACUAAAUUAAAUAACAAUAAUUUUCACUUGCUUUUUCGAUUUCAUUUUACGGCUCAACAAAAUCUCUCAAAACCGUUGUUCUGAACUUCCGGCGGCUUUCAGUACCGGCGAAGGCUGAAGAUUCAAGCAAUAGAGCUGCUCAUGAUGAGGGGAAGGAGAAGAAGACUUAGCCGAGUUUUGAAGAUUACUUUUUUUUUUUCUUUUGGGUUUUCAUUGGUUUAUCAUUUGAGUCUACAAACAAAUGGUAUUCUUUUUCCCUAAAUUGUGAACACUUGGGGUUUUUAUUGUUGAAAUGCUUUAUUAUUUUUCGAUGACCAAGUAAUGUGAAUCAAUGUUCUCUUUAAAUAAUUUUCCCCUGUCCUUGCAUGUUCUACCGGUCAUUAUUUUUUAUUUGAAUUUGAAGAAACUUUCUAAGUGCAUACACCCAUAUGAAGUCGAAGAUCUUCCAGACAAGGUGGCAUCCAUCAAGAUCAAGAAAUUUUACUGCUUAGCAUGUGUUAUAUUUAUGGAUUGGCUAUUGAAAAAAUAAUGUUUGUACUGAUGCAGAUGCAGGAACUUUACACAUCUUAAGUUUACGUGAUAUUUUUUUCUUUUUUGACUCUGUUAGAUAGUUGUCAGUUAGUUAACCAAUUUAUGUUACUCUUCCUUGGCUAGCCAAUUAAGAACUCAUGUUUGCUGGAUUGUAAAGCCUACAUCUGGAAGCCACAGGUGAUUUUAUUUGAAGGCAAUUUGUUCUAGGCUAUAUGCGGAUUUCUAUCAUGAUUUCUGUAAGCUUGAAGGAGAUUUUUUUUAUGCGUGAGAGCUUGAAAUUAUAUAUGUACAUGUUGAAACUAUUGGAUAUAUGUUAAGAAUCAAGCAUAAUUGUGUCGAGAUGAAACCAUAAUUUGGGUGCUGUUUUAUGAGUAAACUAUCUGCAAUUUGGGUGCAGUAAACCUAGGUUGAAUACCGGGACAUGGUAUAAAAGUGAAAUCACACAUUGAGUCUCGCAUAAAGAUUUUAAAGAUGCAAAUUCGAAUUGUACAUGAGAUGUUAUCUUGAUCGAAUUGCAGCGGCUUUGUUUUGGAUCCAGAAAACAAAAUUGUAAGCACAGAGAAGUCUCUAUGGGAUGCUUAUAUUAAGGUGCAUAAUGGCCUCAUUGAGUUUUGUGUUGUUGUUCUACGUUGUUUGAGUUUUGUGCUUCUGUUCUUUGUUGCUGCUUUUGCUACCGAUUUUGGCUAUUUUCUGCCACUCUGUUAUUUGCUAUUUUUUACUACUUUGGCUGCUGAUUUUUGCUGUUUUCGCUGCUUUAGCUGUUGUUUUGUCUGCUUUUUUUUUUUUUUUUUUACUGCUCUUAUUGUUGAUUUUUGCUGUUCUCUAUCGUGUUUUACCCACUGGUUGUCGCAUGUUUAUUAAUACUGUUUGCUGCUGUUUUUUGCUGCUAAUUUUUUUUUUUUUUUUUCUGUUUUCUGCGGUUAUUUGCUGCCGUUGCUGUUUUACUCGCCAGUUGAUGAUGUUUUGUGGUUCUCCUCCUCCUCGAGUGCCUACUUUUUCCAGUGUGCAAGCAUAUCUGUUGAGAGUGGCUGAUGAAAUCACUAAACUGUUACAGUUGAUCUCAUGCUUCUCUAGAGAAGGAAUUAGACUUAUUUUGGUGAAGGGGUUUUUUCUGGUUUUUAUAUCAGUGUGUGCGUUUCUUCAAUCAUGUAGCUUUGUGGCAUUACGAUCGAUAAUGGCAACUCCACAAUGAUGAUAAUGAUAAUUUUGUGAUUCAGACACGUUGUUAGGAAUUCUGUACUGGUUUUUCUCUCGCCUUCGGUGUCUACGAUGAAGCAUAUAAUGGCUUUUAAUCUGCAACUGCUGCAAAAUGGACUCACUAGCUAGCAAAUAAUAAUAUAUAGUGCUGUCAAAUUUAUAAAGAUUAUAUAUACACACACUUUCGUGUUCAAUGCACCGACACUGGAUGUAUAUUGGCAUUUAGAAAAGUUGGCGAUAACUAAUGACUUUCAAGAUUAAUUAAAUGACAAUAUUCAGUCUAUCAUAAAACAAGUUUUCAACAAGUGAAGAGGAGGUACUCUUUAUAAUUGGAUAAUUAAUGCAAACUUCAAUAUUUUCAACCAAAAGAAAACAAUGAUAUUUGAUAUGUAUUCAACAUUAGGGAAAAACCACCCAUAUCGAAGGUUUGCUUAAAUGAUCAAAUAAAUCCACUUAGUUUCUUAAAUGGUUAUACAUAUCCUCUUUUUGACUAUUUAUUGGGUUAUGUUUGAGAGUUAGGACUAAGUGUGGGAUUAUACUAACUUUGAGAUUAAAUAUUAUUCCAUAUUUAGCAAUUUUCCUUGGAUUGGAUUAUGAGAGACUAAAUUCUAAGUUAGUUGUUAAAUAAAGGGGAUUGGCAAUACCAAUUUAUAAAUAGAUUUAAAUGGGAUUAGAAUAAGAGGAAAAAAUGUUCAUUUGUAAUAUUUCUUUCAUAUAUAACACCAUCUUUUAUUUAUUACUUAAAAUUUAAUUAAUGAAUUAAUUAUUCUAUUCAUGAUUUACUUGAAAUAUAUUUUUUAUUUUGUUUUUAUAUUCUAAUUAAAUUGGUACUUUAAUUUAAUAAUUUGUUACAUUAAUUGAUUGUACUAAAUUUAAUAAUCACCAAUGUAAUAUUAAAAUAUAAUUAUGAAAAUUAAUAAUACUAGUAAUUAAUUGAUUUUAUAUAUUAUUUGUUAAUUUUUGGAUAAAAUAAAAUAUAUAUCUAAAAUAUCUAAAUAAUCAAAAACUUUUAUUAAUUUAUAUUUUUUAUUACAAUUAUGACUACCCAUAAGUAAUUUAUUGUAUAUUUAAUGUUCUUAUUAAUUAUAUUUAAAUUAGUCUUAAUUAUUAUUCUUAAAUAUUCAUAAAUAGUUUUUUAUUUAAAUAUAAUUUAACAUUGUCUAAUCUAAUGUUGUACCAAACAUAAGACAAUACUGUAUAAUCCCACAUAAUACUUAGUCCAAUUUAGUCUUGCAUGCCAAAUGUAAUCUUAUACACUUUCAUUACAACAAGCCAAUAAUUGACUUAAAUAAACUUCUAUAACAAUUAUAAGUUAAAAUUAAAAUAAUAUGAUAUAUAAAAUAAGAUAAAAUUUAUAAAUUAUUUUGAAUAUUAGACAAAUGAUUUUAACAUUAUUAAUUUGUCAUAUUCUUUUACUACUAAUAAAAUAUGUUUGACAAAUUAAUAAUAUUAAAAUAAUUAUACCUAACAUUCACAAUAAUUUAUAAAAUUUAUAUAUUUUGUUUGCAAUUUUUUUUAAUUAUGUCUAUAUUAAUAUAAAUCUUAAAGUCAAUUUUUGGAUUAAUAGAUUUUAGUAUAUAUAAUAAUAACUUAAUAUUAAAAAUAAUUUUCAUUACAUACGUUAUUCUAUUAAUUAUCUUAUUGUAAUAUUUUAUUUGUAUCAUAUGAUAUUUAUUAAUUAUUAUUUUUAUCUUAUUACUAUAUUUAUAUUUAUUUGUGUUGUUGUAAUCAAAGGGUAUAGUAACUAAAAAUGUGUUUAUGUGACUAUUUAACCUAAAGGGUCUUUGUGACCAUUUAAGUAAACCUUGGAAAUGUGCGACAAUAGUCAUUCUAAUGACUUUCAAGAUUGAAAGUGAGUCGGAUUAUCAAAUUAUGAAGCAUUAAUACGUAAUGUUUUAUGGUUAUUUUAAGGUUGAAGUUGGUUUAUUCAUUAAACAAGCUUUUAACAAGAGGAGAAGGUUCCCUUUAUAAUUUAAUAAUUAAUACAACCUUCAAUAACAAAAAAAUCAUAUAAUAAGGAUGAUGAUUCUUGCUCACUUGGAUAAGAUAUAUAUAUAUAUAAAACCUAUGAUGUGGUAAGCAAGGAAUCAAUUAUGUAUUUCUUAAUCAAUUCAAUUUCUCUAUUACAUUUUCAUGGCGAAUGUCCCUUACUUCCAUUACCUUGGGAUUGUAAAAUGAUGCUUAAUGCUGCUUUCAAAAAAUUAACAUACACAUCCUUUUAUUCUAAUGGAUCAUAGCACGCAAUGCAUUACCAAUAGGGAUGACUAAAAUCUCCGCAGAGACGGGUACCUUCGUAGAUUUUUCUAAGUAAGACUUGUGUCGUCUUGUCCUCUGGCAAGUUUUGUUUUGUCUUGUCCUACUGACAAGUUUGCUUGAUAUAUUUUAAGGAUUGGUCGUCAACUUCUUCUUUUACUUGUUUUGGGGUGGACUCAUUCUGUUAAUCACAAGUGGUAUGGCAUCUAAUAGCAAUUCAAUGGAGCCUGAGAUGACUGCUGCAUAUGAUUCGUUCUCCAUAGGUGAGGACGAGGAGGAUGGCCUUGUCUUCCAGAGUGAUGAUAUGGCAACGGGGCAGGAAGGUUUGAAUGAUGUUAGAUUCUGUUUGGUGGGGCGGUUUUUAACGGAUAAAGUGAUUAAUUUCCCAGCUAUGAAGAAUACAAUGGCAGCAUUAUGGCGGCCAGGAAAGGGCGUAUGCAUUAAAGAUUUAUCAUCCACCCUUUUCUUGUUUCAAUUUUUUCAUGAGAUUGAUCUGCAACUUGUCAUUGAUUCGGGCCCAUGGACAUUCGAUCAACAUAUUCUAAUUCUACAGAGAUUGGGGGAGCAUGAUCAGCCACAUAGGGUCCCUUUAUAUCAUACUUUCUUUUGGAUUCAAGUGUAUAACUUACCCAUUGGAUUCCAAUCGGAGAAGGUGUUGACAAACAUUGGUAACUAUAUUGGUGAGUUCCAAGCUUCGGAUCCUAACAAUCUCAUGGGAGUAAGAGUCUCAAUAGAUGUCCGGAAGCCUUUGAAGAAAAGAUUGCGUCUGAAGAAGGAGGGGGGGGGGAGUGGUUUUGGGUUGAUUUUAAAUAUGAAAGGUUGAAUGUUUUCUGUUUCAUCUGUGGGCUGCUUGGGCACACCGAAAAACUAUGUCCGAAGCUGUAUGAAUGUGUGGCUACUGAUAUGGUUAGGCUGUAUGGACCAGAGAUGAAUGCUCCAACUCGUCGGAAUGCAAUGUCUUCCGGUGAUCGGUGGCUACGUUCAGUACCUCCGGACGAAGGUGGGUUCAUGUUUGGUAAGUCCACGGAAUUCGUAAGUGGUGCAGAGAUUAAGGAUAUGAAUGCCACAAAAUUGGGAGUUACCACUAAUAGGAAGAUGCCUCACAGUUUAGGAAGGGAUGGGUAUGAGAAUAUGGAAAUCAUGGAGAUAUCAAAGGGAUUGGCAGUUGUCAAAGCACGUGAGAGUCAAAGGAAUGAUAAGGGGAAAGGGGUGGAUUGGCUUGCUAAUGGGAUGGAUCUUGUUCACACGGCUGAUAGCUGUAGAGAGAAAGGAAUCGUUCUAAAGGAAGCUAAACGGAGACGGGCCGAGAUUGAUUUGGAUGGGCUUGGGCAAUCAGAGGAAGAUGAGCAAUCUAUGGUCAUGGAUCCAAAAAACGGACUAGCGGUGGGACUUGGUUUUCAGGCCCACCGAGACCAAUGAGUACCUUGAGCUGGAACUGCCGUGGUUUGGGCCAGCCACGGACAGUUCGAAUGUUAACAGAACUGGUUCGUAGGAAAAAACCUUCUUUUAUAUUCCUUAUAGAAACGUUAUGUAGUAAAAGUAAACUAGAAAGUAUUAAAAGACAGUUGGGCUAUGACGGGCUUUUUGUUGUGGACCGAGUGGGCCGAAGUGGAGGACUUGCGCUUCUUUGGCAGGCAACUAGUUCUGUGAAGCUUCUGAAGUAUGCUACCAAUUUUAUAGAUGCUGAAAUUGAAGAUCAGGAGGUAGGAAAGUGGAGGCUGACUGGCUUUUAUGGCUAUCCUGAGACUAGCAGGAGGCGGGAAUCGUGGGACUUGCUCCGCUUACUUUCUACUUCAUCCUCUCUUCCUUGGCUAUGCAUAGGGGAUUUUAAUGAUCUUUUGGCGGCAAAUGAGAAGAGGGGCAAAAUUGUUCAUCAUAAUUGGAAGUUAGUGGGCUUUCAAAAAGCUAUUGCAGAUUGCAAUCUGCUUGAUCUUGGUGUCGAGGGAUAUCAGUAUACUUGGGAGAGGGCUAGGGGAACUGAUCGGUGGGUUGAGGAAAGACUUGACAGGGCCUUUGCUUCUGAGGCGUGGCUGCAGCGUUUCACCAGAGCAAAGGUAUAUAGUUUAGAAUCUUCUUGUUCUGAUCACCUCCCUAUAUUUUUGGAUCCUAGCCCAGCUCAGUAUGUUACGAGGAAUAGGCGUUUUCGGUUUGAAAAUAUAUGGAUGCGUGAGGCGGACUGCAGUGAGGUUAUUCGGGAAAGUUGGUAUUCUCACCCAAGGAAUUCUAUCCAACGUAAAAUUUUGGCUUGUGGGUCUGCUUUAACGGAGUGGGGGGGUCAUUUAGGCCGAAACUUUCGUAAGCGUAUUAUGGACUGCAAGAACCGAAUGACUUCUUUAAGAGGGCGUCGUGAUAGAAAAGGUGUGACUGAGUUUACGGAGGCUCGAAAUCGUUAUAAUGAGUUGCUGCAUAGUCAUGAGGUGUUCUGGAAACAGCGGGCAAAAUCGCUUUGGCUAAAAGAAGGAGAUAAGAACACUCGUUACUUUCAUGCUUCGGCUUCAGCACGGAAAAGGCAAAAUUCCUUGGGGAAUCUUCGUAAUGAUCAAGGAGAAUGGUGCGCCAAUUCUGUUGAGGUGGAUGCAUUGAUAGUUGAUUACUUUACGAGCUUGUUUACAGCUGGAGGAGUCCAAACUGCCGAAGUUAUUCAGUGUGUGGAUACUAAAGUUACAAGUGAACAUAAUUCAAUGUUGUUAGCUCCAUUUUCUGCCAUUGAAGUGAAAUAAGCAGUAUUUGGUAUGCACCCGGAUAAGUCUCCAGGUCCUGAUGGGAUGAACCCGGCCUUCUACCAAAAGUUCUGGCAUAUCGUGGGUGAGGAUGUGGUUAUGGCUUGCCUCAAUCUUCUUCAGGAUGCUUCCUUUCCGGUAGGCUUGAAUGAUACUUCCAUUGUUUUAAUUCCGAAUAAGCAAAGGCCUGAAUUUUUAUCAGAUAUGCGACCUAUUGCAUUAUGCAAUGUUCUUUAUAAGAUAAUUUCUAAAAUGUUAGCUAACCGUAUGAAAUUAGUGCUUGAGUUGGCUAUUUCAGAUUCCCAAAGCGCCUUUGUGCCGGGACGAGCUAUCACUGAUAACAUAAUCAUAUCGGCUGAGAUUAUGCACUUCUUGAAGCGAAAACGGCAAGGAAAAAAUGGGGUAGCUGCAUUGAAAAUUGAUAUGUCUAAGGCGUAUGAUAGGAUCGAGUGGAAUUUUCUUCAAGAUAUGAUGCUCAAGAUGGGGUUUGCUGCCAAGUGGGUGGAAUUAAUGAUGCUCUGCGUUUCUACUGUCCGAUACCGCGUGCUCCGUGAGGGUAAGGAGAUUGGUCCGAUUGUUCCCUGCAGAGGCCUUCGCCAAGGGGAUCCUUUAUCCCCGUACUUAUUUAUUAUAUGUGCAGAGGGGUUAAGUUCAUUGAUUCGCAGGCAAGAGAGUAAUGGAUUGCUUCACGGAGUUAGAAUUGCGAGAGGAGCUCCAACAGUGUCUCAUUUGUUUUUUGCGGAUGAUAGUUUCCUGUUCUUUCGGGCAAACAACAAUGAAGCUUACUUAAUCAAGCACUUGCUGGCCAUAUAUGGACGAGCCUCUGGCCAAGUUGUUAACUUCAGUAAAUCUGCAAUCUCAUUUAGUGCUAAUGUAGUUGAAAGCGUAACUCGGGAGGUCUGUGCUAUUCUUGCGGUUAAUUCCACUGCUAAUCACGGGACUUAUCUUGGACUGCCAUCAGCCAUUGGUAGGAAAAAGAAAGAAGUGUUCCAAUAUAUUAGAGACAAGUUAUGGCAAAGACUUCAAGGUUGGGGGUCGCGGAUGCUUUCUCGGGCUGGAAAGGAGAUUUUGUUAAAAACAGUGGCCCUUGCUAUGCCUAAUUAUGUUAUGAGUAUUUAUUUGCUGCCCAAAGAGCUAUGUAGAGAGCUAGAAGUGUUGAUGAAUUCUUUCUGGUGGCGUAAUAAUCACAGUGGUGGGACAGGAAUUAAUUGGGUUAAGUGGAAAUACUUGUGCAAACCAAAGGGGUGUGGUGGACUUGGGUUCAAGCAAUUUUAUUUAUUUAACAUUGCGAUGUUAGGAAGGCAGAUGUGGAAGUUAUUAACCUGCCCUGAUUCUCUAAUGGCGAGAAUUCUUAAAGCUCGGUACUAUCCGCGAACUUCUGUAGUUCGAGCUUCGUUGGGGCAUAAUCCCAGCUAUGUAUGGCGUUCCAUUCUGGCUGCAAAGGAAGUGGUGGUCCAAGGGAGUAGAGUGCAGGUUGGCAGUGGUCGUUCGAUAUCCAUUGGUAAAGAUCCUUGGCUUCCAGACCUCCAAGAUGGGUGUGUUUCUACAAAUCUUAAUGAGGAGCUAGCUACAGCUCCUGUCAGCAGCUUAAUGAUGCCUCACCAACGAGCUUGGGACUAUAAUGCUGUUUCGGACAUCUUCAAUUCAAGAGAUAAGGAGUUGAUUCUGAAGAUUCCUCUUAGUUCCCGCCGCGAAGAUGAUGUGUGGUAUUGGAUGGCGGAUUCCCGGGGAUGUUAUUCAGUUCGCAGCUGCUAUAAGGUUUUAAAUCCUAUCACUCCCGGUUCCUUAGCGGAUGUGUGGAGGAAAUUGUGGAACUCGAAAGUGCCGAACAAGGUUAAGAAUUUUAUUUGGAGAGCUGCACACAACGUGUUGCCUACAGCACUCAAUUUAAUUUCCAAAAGGGUGGAUGUUCCAGCUAUGUGUUCUGUAUGCAAUGCCUACGAAGAAACAGUUUUACACUCCUUGGUUGCCUGCAGUUUUGCUAAGUCUUGUUGGACUUCUUCAUCGGUGGGUUUUGUUGGCUAUUGCUCUAAUUUUUUGGACUGGCUCGCUCACGUUUUUACAAGGUGCAGUAAAGAUGAGUGUAAUAUUGCUAUGAUGAUUUGUUGGCGGAUUUGGGUAAAUCGAAACAACAAAGUUUGGAACAACACUACCAGCUCAGUUUGUCAAAUUCUCAACUCUGCUGGACAGUUUCUCUAUCAGUGGCAAGCGGCAAAACAGCAAGUAUUUGAUGUUAAUGAUGAUACUCACAGAUUGGUUCAUGGGGCAUUGUGUUGGGAGCAACCUAAGUUUGGGUGGGUAAAGUGCAAUGUGAAUGCAGCUGUGUUUGAGUCUCAAGGGAAGAUUGGGAUCGGUUGUGUGAUUCGUAAUUCACAAGGAGGUUUUGUGGCAGCAAGGUGUGUGAGUGUGGCAGGAAUUUUUGGAGCAAGGGAGGCUGAAGCUCUUGGCAUAAGAGAGGCUCUUAGUUGGAUGAAAGAACUGCAGAUUCCAUGUGUUAUCAUAGAGAUGGACUGCCUACAAGUGUUCCGAGCUUUGGUUGAACAGUUUUCAAGUCCAAAUGGGUUUGGUUUGAUUAUUGAAGACUGUCAAGCUUUAGUUAAGUUUAUCGGAGAAGUGCAAUUCUCCUUUGUGCGUCGAUCUGCGAAUCUUGCUGCUCACUCCGUUGCGAGGGCAACAGGUUCUUUGUCAGGUCCCCAGGAGUGGAAUGUUGUUCCACCUCUGUGGUUGUUAAACAGUUUGUAAGUUUUGCUUAAUGAAAUUUCUUCCUUUCAAAAAAAAAAAUAAAAAUGAAUAAUCCUUUAACGAAGGUUAUAAUCAAUUGCAGGUUUCUAGUUUGGCUGCUUAGUUUUAGGACUACGAAUAUUACAAUAUCAUAAUUAAAGGAAAGAAUAUAUGCGGUAGUCUUUGCCUGAUCUACUUUCUUCUUCUUAAUAAACCACGUAAAAGGAAAGAAUAUUGUAUACGCAGCACACUAUAAUACUCUAAUUACCAAUUCUUUAUCUUAUAAUAUAAGUUCAUAGUGAUUAAUUUGUCCUUCUUCAGCAAAAAACAAAUCACAUUUCAGCACAUCUACAAGAGCCCUCAUUUCUCUUUGCUCCAGCCAAUUGAUAGCAGAAUCAUCACAGACACCUUGAGCUCCGUCAAUCAUCAUAGACAAUUGGUGACUAGUGGGAGCAUUUCAAGGAAGGUACGACGAGUACAAACUGAUAGAUUUGUUUAUAUGAUUCGGCUGUAGUUUUUAUAUAUGGUUAAAUUAUGACAAUAAUCAAGAGAUAAUCAUGUACCUCAUUAGUUUCAUAAAUGUACAUACUAAUUUAUUCCCCUGCUUGCCAGAAUCAAACAUGUAGAAUAAGAUAAAUUUUAAGAUUUAAAAUUUUCAAUUCAUUAAAAAUCUAGUGGGAUAUUAAUCGGUAAAACCACUUAGGGGUAGUACAAGAGGUUUGUGGUGCUAACCAAUUUAUGUGAGUGGAGAAAGAAUUAGGCUUUUUUAAUAAAAAUUAAUAAUCAUAUUAAUAAAAUGACAUAAAUUUCAAGAUUUAAAACUUUAGACAUCAUUAGAAGUAAGAGGGGGAUCGUAAAAACUUUGAAUGUAACUUAUCGGUAGUGGAAUGGAUUUUUUUUUUUUUUUUUUGGUUGAAGCUAUUUACACACCUUUGAACACAUGUUAGGGUGAGGGUAUUUCAGUAUUUUACCCACAUCUCAAUAAAAUAUUUUGAGGUGAUGCUACCACUAAACAACUCAUUAAAGCCAUUUACUUAAUAAACACACUUCUAAAUUUUAAAAUGCACAAUUUUAUUUUACAAACCCAUUAAUACCUAAAAUACCCUUAUUAAGUUAAAUUAUCACAAUUUCUCUUAUCAUUUUCUUUUCCCAUCAUUUCUCCGUUUCUUCACCCUUUUCUUCUUCAUUUUUGGAGCUUUACCCAUAGCUUUUUUAUUCCAAAUUCUCAAACUUUUUAUUUUAUUUUUUAAUAGCUAUUUUUCCCGUUGAUAUUUCAUGUGUUUAUAUGAUUCAGCUAUAGUUUUAACUUUUAUAUAUGGUCAAGUUAUAACAGUAAUCAAGAGAUAAUCAUGUUCAUCAUAAGUUGCAUAAAUAUACAUACUAAUUUAUUCCUCUACUUGCCAGAACCAUACAUAUAAAAUUAGAUACAUUUUAAGGUUUAAUCUUAGGGUUGGCAAUAAGCUCCGGAUCCGCAACAAUCCAGAAGAUCCAGAUCUGGAAAAAUCCGGAUCCGCAUGCUAAAAAAUGUGAAUCCAGAUCUUAAAAAUCACAAUCCGUGCAGAUCCGGAUGUAAGUGCAUCCAAAAAACCGAAUAUCUGGAUCCACAAUUUUUUAUAAUUAAAUUAUUUAUUUAAUUAAAUUUCAAUUGAAAAAUAGAUAAAUUAAAUUAUUUAUUUAAAUGUAUAAGCAUAAUUAACUCUCUAAUCUUCAUUAACUUUAAAAAAUAUGUUAAUAAACUAAUAAUAAUAAUAAUUAGAGAAUAUUGUAAUAAAUCGGUUUACCUUACAUUUUUUUUUAUGUUUGAUUUAUAUUGUGAAAUUAUUGUUUGUGAAUUUAUGGUGUUGUUGUAUGUUAUUUAUGUUUAGGGUUGGCAAUGGGAUGGGAUGGGACGGGAUUUGUCAAUCCCAGUCCUGUCCCGUAUAUUGAAUUGGGACUAAAAAAAGUCUCAUUCCCGUCCCUUUAUUUUUUUUUGGGACAAAAAUUUAUCCCAAUCCUGUCCCAUUAAAUAUCUCGUCCCAUCCCAUUAUCCCGAAUAGUCCCGAAUGUAAAUAAAUAAAUUUUAAUUUUUUCUUUUACGGAUUGUCAUAAAUCAAUAUAUAGCAAAUAAAGAAACAAAAAAUUCAAAGUUCCGAAGCUAAUCCAAAUCAAUCUAAGUUCCAAAGUUCAAGCAAAAGUUAAAAAUUAACAUAAUCUUCCAAAAGUUGACUUCAAUUCCAGUUCCCACUUCAUUAGACAAAAAAACUUCAUACUCUAACCACACUUUCAAGACCGCACUUUCAAAUUUCUGUAUAAACCUACAAGAAUUUAAUAAAGAGAGGUUAGAGUAAGACUAAUAUUUUGAUAAUUACAUAAUAAUUAAUCAUUAACGUUCAAAAUUAUUAAUAAAAUCGGUUACCUCUUCAAUCUCUGCAUCAACUUUUUCUUCAUCUGCAAAUGUAGGAUUUUCACUAGAAGUUGUAUGCCCAUUGUCUUAGAAAACAAAAAAAAAAAUUAAAAACUAGAAAAGAAAAUAAAAAAGUUUGAAGAUUUAAAAUAUGCAUAAAUUACAAUAAAAUAAAUUACCUCUUGUGUAAGCAUUCAACCAACUUUGAGUGCACAUCAAUGCCUCCACUAUUUGAGAGUGUAGUCUAUUACAAUGUGGGCUAACUACUCUACCACCUGUGCUAAAAGCUGACUCGGAAGCAACUAUUGAUACUGGGAUUGCUAGUGUAUCCCUAGCAAUAGUAGAUAACAAAGGAUAUUGUAUUGCAUUUAUUUUCCACCACCCCAAAAUAUCAAAAUUUUUGUCCUUGGUAAUCAACACAUAUUCACCUAAAUAUGACUCAAGCUCAGUCUUACGGUUCUCAACCAUAUUGGCUUUCAAAAAAUCAUCAUACCUACUUGAAAGUUGUUCCUCAACAUGGGACAUAACGACUGAGGACUCUCCUAUACUAGAACUAAAAGCACCCGCGCUAGGACCGCUUACAGAUAAUUUGGCCUUAAAUUCAUACUCCUUUAUUAAUUCCUUAAAAAGCAUCUGAACUCUCUCAAUAUGAAUAUUUGAUUCAUCACCAUAUAACAAUGGAAAGUAGAACUCAAUCAAUUUCAUUUUAUAUCUAGGAUCCAACACUGUUGCCACGGUUAAUACCCCAUUAACAUCUUUCCAAUAUUUUUCAAAUUUGCCAAUCAUGUUAAUUGCCAUUUGUCUAACUUCAUCAUGCUCACAUGUAAGCCAACUACCUAAUGAUAAUCUAAUCUCACAAAUAUGAAUGAAAAACAAAUUGGAUGUGGGGUACUUAGUUCCAGAAAAUACCUCAGUCACAUUAUAAAACGAUUUCAAAUUAUUUGACAAUAUACGAGCUAACUCCCAUUCACUUUCACUUGGCAAACACCUAUAUUGUGCCUCCAAUUGAUGCAAUCUAUAAAAGACAUUUUUAUACUCCAGGGCAACAGAAAUUAUGAGAUAAGUAGAGUUCCAUCUAGUGAUGCAAUCAAGAACUAACUCCUUACUACAUGGAAUAUUCAACCUACGAGAAAUCUCUUUAAAUUUUUCCCUUCUUUGAGGGGUAACUGUCCAAAAUGCAACACUAGCACGAAUUUUAGCAACACCCUCACUAAUUACACUUAACCCCUCUUUGACAAUCAAGUUUAAAAUGUGAGCAGUACAUCGUAUAUGAAACAACUUGCCACCCAUAAGUAAAUCAUUUUUAUCAAGUUUAUCUAGUAGAAGUUGAAUCAUUCGAUCAUUAGUAGUGCAAUUAUCAACAGUUAAUGCAGAUAACUUACGCUCAAGAUUAAGAUCCAUUAAACAUCUCAAUAGUACAUCACAAAGUACUUGAGAAGUAUGUCGAGCUUGCACAUGAAUAAACCUACAUAGAAAAAAUACAAUUAAUUACAAACAUAUUCAAUAAAUAAAUAUAAUGCACUAAAUAUUUCAAUGUUAAUUAGAAUUAAACAUAGUACCUCAAAAUUUGACUCCGUAAGGUCCAAGAAUCAUCAAUAAAGUGUGCUGUAAUAGCCAUGUACCCUUUUGUUUGGGAGCCACAAGUCCACAUGUCGGUUGUGAUUGCAACUUUACUACUGUUACUCUCUAUUAAACUCACAACCUUAGCCUUUUCCAUCUAAUAUAGCUCCAUAAUAUCACUUUUCAUAGUAUUGCGAGAUAUGUUUUUCCACAUUGGGUUUAAAGAAGACAACACUUUUCUAAACCAUUCAUGCUCAACGCAACUUAAUGGGUACUCAUGCAUAAUGAUCAUACGUGCAAUCAAUCCCCUAGUGACAUCAGGAUCAAAAGAAUAAGUCUCUACCUUCACAUUUCCCUGAUCAUCCUCAAUUGUUUUUAACUUCUUUGAAUAAUGUGUUAUCUCAAUUUGAUUACGCCGAGGGCAUAUUUUCAUGUGAUCGUUCAAGUGUCUUGUUCCAUCUCUAGGACCUCCAACAUAGUCUUUAUUGCAGUGCUUACAAAAGGCUCUUAUUUUUCCAUUUUUUAUCUUUCUUUCAAAAUGUUUCUAGACCACUGAUCUUAAUCUUGAUGUUAAAUCAUUGUCUUUGGCAUUUUCUUCAACAACAUGCACAUCAUCAUUAUCUAAACUUUCAUUGUCCACUACUGGAGGAGAAGCCAUCCUUUAAAGCAAAAAGAAAAAAACAAUCCACAACUCAAAUAAAUGAAUUAAAUAUAAAUUAACCUUUUAAAAACAUCAAACCAUAUAAAACAAAAGUAAUAAUAAUAUGGGACCACAAGAACCUUUAUUUUAAAACUCAAUACUACUUAAACAGAUAUAAUAAUCAUUAUAAUAUAACAACUUCAACUAGAUUGCCGUAUAUAAUAUAAUAAUAUUUAACAAAUAUCAAUUAUAUGGAAAGAGCACAAAACUGUAAACAAUAAAAACAAAAAAAGCCAAAUUAUGAAUGUUAACUUACGGUGUGGAGGCUGAAAAGUGAGAAUUUUGUGGAUGAAUUGCUAGCAGAGACGUAGUGGGCAAGUCGUGGGUGGCUGCUUGGGAACUUUUGUGGCGGAGUAAAAUUUUUUGUGGUGAGGGCAAGGGGCGUUGGGCGGUCAACACUUAGGGUGCAGUGUUAAUUUAGGAAAUUGGUUGAGUUUUGAAGGGUAAUUAUUGCUAUAAAUUAUUAAUUUUAUUUGUGACUUUUUCACUUUUUAUUUUAAAUUAUAAUGUUAACGGGAUAUACAGGACAGGACGGGAUUUUAUAAUUGGUUCUCCUCCCGUCCCAUAAAUAAAAGCGGGAUUUAUUUUGAUCCUUAUCCCAUCCCAUUUUAAUUUGGGAUGAAAAAAUAUGUCCCAAUCCCAUCCUAAACGGGACGGGAUCCCGCAGGAUCCCGUCCCAACGGGAAAAAUUGUCAUCCCUAUUUAUGUUGAAUUGAAGUUAAAUUGUUGAUUCUUAAAUUAUAAUUGAAUUUUAUUUAAUAUUAUUAUGUAAAUUAUUAAAUUUAAAAUUAUAUUUAAAUUUAUUAUUAUGCGGAUCCGAAUAUCCAGAAUAUCCGUCCGCAAUCCGUGCAGAUGUUAUCCGCAUCCGGAUCCGUAUUUUUUUUUGCGGAUCCGGAUGUCAAAAGUUUAAUCCGGAUUUUGAUGCACUAACAUCCGAAUCCAGAUCCAAAUUUUGCCAUCCCUAGUUUAAAACUUUGCAAUUCGUUAAAAAUCUUGCGGGAUAUUAACCGGUAAAACCACUUAGGGAUAGUACAAGAGGUUUAUGAUUUCUCAACCCAUUUAUGUGGGUGGAGAGAGAAUCAAGUGUUUUUUUAAAUAAAGAAUAAUUAAUAAUUAAUAAUCAAAUUAAUAAAAAUAAAUAAAUUGUAAGGGGGAUCGUAAAAGUUUUGUAUAUAACAUAUCGGUAGUGGAAAGAAAUUUUUUUAGAGAGGCUAUUUGGCUUGGAACAUAUAUUACAAUACUCUCUUCAUCCACUUCUCAAUAAAAUAUUUUAUUACAAAAUUUUCCUUAAUUAAAUUAUUGUUUUAGCCAUAUAUUAUGUUCGUUUAUCUCCCUAAAGUUUUUAUUCUUUCACCCUUUUUUCUCUUUUCCUUUGUGUCUCCCCAAUUUUUUUCCAGUCCUAUGGGGUUCUUAUUAAAGCUUCUAUUGAGUAAAAUCUUUAUUAAAAUUGCUUAUAAAAAAAAAAGAAAAAAAGAAUGGGUCUCUUUUAAAAUUUGUCUUUCCUUCCUUUACCCUUGAGUUACUAUUAGAUGUAUAAGCUCAAGAUGAGACUAGUAAUUGGAUUUCCAUUAAAAGUUUUAAUUUCAAAAAAUCAAAAGAUCACCAUACAAAUAUCAAAAGAUCACUAACUUAAUUAUACUGGUAAUAAUUAAGAUAAGUAAAAGACCUACUAUUUCUGUUUGAUGUUAUUAUGAUAAAGAAAAAAAAAAAAGAAAUAGCAAGUUGCUGCAGUUGCAACAAUUGAGGAUAUGCUAAUAAAAGUGUUACAGAGAUAGAUUUAAUUGAUAAAAAUAAGAUUUUAAUAAAAAGUAUUGAGAGAAACAAUUAAUAAAAACUAAUGAUAUUUAUUAAGGGUAUAUUAUGAAUAUUUGUGGCCUUUUUUGAGGUAACUAAAUAAAUUUUAAGUUCUGAUAAUGUGUUUAUUACAUAAGUGGAUUUAUUCAGUAUUCUAGUGGAUUUAAAGAGUUUCAACUCUCAUAUUAUAAUAAAUUUUUAUAUUGCUACAAUUGCCCUAAUAUAGUGGACAAUAUUAUAUUGUACACAUAAGAAUACUCUAGCACGGUAGCACCCAAUUAAAAUUUUUAGUAAAACAUAUAAGACCUCUAAAUGUAAAGAGAAUUCCGUCAAGGUAUUGCAGUAGUAUUUAAUGCUCUUGGCUAGUGUAAACUAUUGUGCCACAUGUAGUAUUUCGAUCCUGACAAGUGCAUUACAAAUAAUGACUCUUAUUUCAGGUCUUUUAGGUACUUUAGAGAUAUAUUAGCUCUGGAGCUAGUAUUAGGUCAUAACGUGCUUCUUUUAAUGAAAGAUGUGGUUCAUUUUUCCCUACACCAAAGCAUUUUCUGUGGAAUAACCGUGUCAAAUGCUCAUUUAUCAAGGGCACGUGUGGUGUUGUCAGUAUGAUAUGCUAACCCACGUGCACUUAUGGAAAAUCAAAUGAGAAAAAUGAAUUAAAAAAUGCAAAAGCUAAUUAAUAAUGUUCGAGUUUGAGAUGAAGAAUAUUUAAUUUUAUGGAUAUAAAGAUAAGAAAGAUUUAAUGAGAACUAUCCUAAUAUUAAAAUACUAUUUAAAAUAAAUUUUAUUUGACGUAAUAGUAUGUCUCAUAAUAAGACUCGUAGUGGUCAGAAUCGUACAUGUAAAAUGAGAUAAAUUUUAAGGUUUAAAACUUUGCAAUUCAUUAAAAAAUCUAGUGCGAUAUUAAUUGGUAAAACCUCUUAGGGGUAGUACAAGAGGUUUAUAAUUCCCUAAUCCAUUUAUGUGGGUGGAGAGGGAAUUAAGAGUUUUUUAAUAAAGAAUUAAUAAAAAUUAAUAAUCAUGUUAAUAACUUAUUGGUAGUAGAAUGGAAUUUUAUUUGGAGAGGCAAUUUGGCUCAGAACAUAUAUUAAAAUGAGGAUAUUUGAACCCGCCACAAUACUCUCUACAUCCACUUUUCAAUAAAAAAUUUAUUACAAAAUUUUCCUUAAUUAAAUUACUAUUUUAGCCAAAUAUUACGUUCAUUUAUCUCCCUAAAGUUUUUAAUUUUUAACCCUUUUUUCUCUUUUCCUGUUUGUCUCCCCAAUUUGUUUCUAGUCCUAUGUGGUUCUUAUAUUUUAAAGCUUCUAUUGGAGUAAAAUCUCUACUAAAAUUGCUUAUCAAAAAAAAAAUCUCUUUUAAAUUUUGCCUUUUCUUUACCCCCAAGUUACUAUUAGAUGUAUAUGUUCACCGUGAAAGUUUAGAUCUCAAACCUUUUCUGUAUCUUAAAUGGAUUGUCGUGGAUAUGCCUAAGAUGAGCAUUUUCUUCCUCUUCACUUCAUCAUCUUUGAUAUAGUAAUUAUAAUUGAUUGAGGAGUGUUAAAACGCAUUGUGAUGAAUGAAUGCACAAGCUAUGUGAUUAAGACUGCAUUUAUCAGCUGGUUGGCGACCGCAAAUAUUAGGCAGGUUAUUCACAAUAGUGCUACUGAAGCUUUAUAUGGAAUAAGGAGACCAAACCUCUAUAUGAUAAGAGUUGUAUGAAUACCAAAUGAAUUGUAAGAGGAUAUGGUUAAUUUAGAUUGCAAUUUAAGAAAGCUUGAGUUCUAAGAGCACAGAAAUGGGAUCAGUCUUGCUCAAGUGUAAACUCCAUCAGUUAGGAAGCUGUCCAUAAAAUGUAAAUAUUUAUGUGAUUGAGAGAAAUUUUGGACUUUUGAUGAAAACAAAAUCCUGUAUGCAUUUGCUUGUCCCCAAGGAGCUGAAAGUUCUCAAAUUGUUUGUAGACGUAAUAGUUCUCCUGAUGUCAUUUGGCUUGCUAAUCUUUUUUUGCUCGAAAAUUUGCCUAUUGUGUGGUCUUGACGGUGGGUGAAAUUGAUUCGUGGUCUCAGAUGAAGACAGCAGCAGAUGUGUGUGUGCUAUAUGACAUCGAGAAAAAGCAAAAGCCUUAAAGAGUUCAUCCACAUUUUCCAUUUCAGAAGAAUCUGUUUGUGGUUCUCCUGCUCGAGUGCCAACUUUUCAGUGUGCAAGCAUAUAUGUUGAGACCGGCAGAUGAAAUCACUAAACUUUUACAGUUGAUCUGAGGCUCCUCUAAAGAAGGAUUUGGAUUUUGGAAUUAAUUUGGGGAAAGGGUUUUUUUCUGGUAUAUGAGUGUAAGCAUUCCUUCAAUCACGUAGCUUUGUGCCAUUAACAUAAUGGCAAUUCCACAAUGGGGAUAAUGAUAAUUUUGUGAUUGGGAACUCUUUACUGGUUUUUCUUUCGCCAUCUGUGUCUAUGAUUAAGGUUGUUUAAAGUGUUAUGGCUUUUAAUCUACAACCAUUGCGAAAUGGACUCACUAGCUGGCAAAUAAUAAAACAUAGUGCUGUCAAAUUUUGUAAGGAUUAUGCAUACACACUCUUUCGUCUUCAAUGCCCUGAAACUGGGUAACUACAUGUAUGAUUUUCAUUCAGAAAAACUGGCGAGAACUAAUGACUUUGCAGAUUAAAAAAUAAGUAGGAUUAUCAGAUUAUGUAGCAUUGUUAUGUAUUGUCUUGUGUAUUUUUUAAGGUUAAAGUUGGUUUGGAAAUUAAUUAAAAGACGAUAUUCAUUCUAUCACCGGACGAGUUUUUAACACGAGGAGAAGGUUCCUUUUGUAAUUUACUAAUUUAUACAACCUUUAAUAUUAAAACAAAAUUUUAUGUAUUAAGGACGAUGAUUCUUGCUCACUUAGUAAGAUAUGUACAUAACAUAGGUUUGUUAAGCAAGGAAUCAAUUAUGUAUUUCUUGUAUCUGAAAAAAUGAAUCAUCCUUUAACGAGGGUUAUCAUCAAUUGCAGGUUUCUAGUUUGGUUGCUUGGUUUGAGGACUAUGAAUAUUACAUUGUCAUAACUAAAGGAAAGAAUAUUGUAUACACAGCACACUAUAAUUACCAAUUCUUUAUCUUAUAAUAUAAGUUCAUAGUGAUUAAUUUGUCCGUCUUCAGCCAAAAAAAAAAAAAAGUCCCAUUUCAGCACAAAUACAAGAGCUCUCAUUUUUCUUUGCUCCAGCCAUUUUAUAGCAGUGUCAUCACAGACACCUCAAGCUCUGCCGAAUCAUCAUAGACAAUUCGUGAUUGGUGGGAGCAUUACAAGAAAGGUACGACUACUUCAAACUGAUAGAUUUGUUUAUAUGAUUUAGCUAUAGUUUUAACUUUUAACAAUAAACAAGAGACAAUCAUGUACAUCGUUAGUUACAUAAAUGUAGAUACUAAUUUAUUCCUGUACUUGCCAGAUCCAUACAUAUAAAAAUGAGAUAAAUUUUAAGGUUUAAAAAAUUUCAAUUCAUCAAAAAUCUAGUGCUAUAUUAAGCGGUAAAAUCACUUAGGGUUAGUACAAGAGGUUUAUGAUUCCCCGACCCGUUUAUAUGUAUGGGUGGAGAAGGUAUUAGGCAAUAAAGAAUUAGUAAAAAUUAACAAACAUAUUAUAAAAGGAAAUAAAUUUCAAGAGGGAACGUAAAAGAUUGUAUGUAACUUAUCGUUAGUGGAAUGGAAUUUUUUUGGAGAGGCUAUAUUUGGCUUGGAACAUAUAUUAGAACAAGGUUAUUUGAACCCACCGCACUCUCCAAAAUCCACUUCUCAAUAAAAAAUUUCAUUAGAAAUUUUUUCUUAAUUAAAUUACUAUUUUAACCAAAUAUUAUGUUAAUUUAUCUCCCUAAAACUUUUAUUUUUUUCACCCUUUUUUCUCUUUUCCUCUCCAUCUCCCCAAUUUUUUUUCUAGUCCUGUGUGGUUCUUAUACUUUAAGGCUUCUAUUGGAGUAAAAUCUCUAUUCAAAUUGCUUAUCCAAAAAAAAAAAAAUCUUUUAAAAUUUGCCUUUCCUUUACCCUCGAGUCACUAUUAGAUGUAUAUGCUCGUGAUGAAACUUUAGUAAUUGGAUUUCUAUUAAAUAUUUUAAUUUAAAAAAAUGAGAAGAUCACUAUAAAAAUAUCAAAAGAUCACCAACUUAAUUAUAGCAAUAAUUAAGGGAGUUAAAAAACUUACUAUUUCUGUUUGAAGUUAUUAUUAUAAAGAAAGAAAGGAAAAAAAAAGUCGCUGCAAUUGCAUCAAUUGAGGACAUGUUAUGAAAAGUAUCAUAGAAAGUAGUGAGAGAAACAACUAAUGAAAAUUAAUGAUACUUAUUGAGGGUAUAUUGGGAAUAUUUGUGGGUUUUUUGAAUGAAAAAAUAAAAUUUUAAGUUGUGAUAAUGUGUUUAUUAUAUAAAUGGGUUUAUUCAGCAUUACAAUGGGUUUAAAUGGCUUUAUCCUUCAUAUUAUAAUAAAUUUUUAUAUUACUAUAAUAGCCGUAAUAUAGAGGACAAUGUAAUGAAAAUAUUGUUACUGUUAUACUUAUUAAAGAAACAAUAUUAUCUUGUACAAACAAGAACACUCCAGUGCUGUAAUAUAAUCUAAUGCUUUUUGGUAGUGUAAACUAUGUGUGCCACGUGUAGUAUUUCAAUCUUCACAAGUGGCAUUGUAAAUAGUGGCUCUUAUUUCAGUUCCUCAUAGGCACUCUAGAGACACGUUAGCUUCGAAGCUAGUAUUUGGUCAUCACGUGCUUCUUUUAAUGAAACAUGUGGUUCAUUUUAUCCUUAUACGAGAGCAUUUUGUGCGGAAUAACCAUGUCAAAUGCUCAUUUAUCAAGGACACGUGUCGUGUUCUCAGAACAUAGUAAAAAUAUGAUACGCUAACCCAUGUACGUUUAUGGAAAAUCAAAUGAAAACAAAGAACUAAAAAAAACGUACAAAGGCUAAUUAAUAAUGUUUGAGUUUGAGAUGAUUAAUAUUUAAUUUUAUGGUUGUAAAGAUAAGAAUAAAAGUAGGUCUAGUGAGGACUAUCCUCAUAUUAUAACACUAUUUAAAGUAAAUUUUGUUAUAAAAGAUUUUAUUCAAUUAGGUACAGAGACCAUUCAAACUAUAUUUUAGUAUGUCUCAUAAUAGGACUAACAUUGGUCAAAUCAACCUAUUUCGAUAAGAUCCAUCGAAAUUAAUAUUUAAAAGAUUUAUCAUCUCAUUAUACAAUACACAGCUUUGCCAUCUAGUAGAGAAUGAUUGGUUGGCACACCAUAGUUUACAUAAAUAUUUCUAAUAUUUGAAUCAUUUGUUAGGAAAUUUUAACCCUACCAAGAUCUUGUAAGUAAACAUAUCAAAUAAAUAGUAAAUAGAUAAUAUAUAGAGAAUAAAACCAAUCAUACAACACAAUAAUUUACCGGAGAAAAAUUCCUAUACUGGAGAAAAACCGCGGCCGCCAAAGAUGACGAAAGAAAAACCCACUAUGUAAAGAUCAUUACAAUCAUUCUAGUAUUUUCCAAAUAUACAAAACCCCAAUAACAAAUAAUCUCUCAUUCUAGAAACUGUCUACUUGUAUAGAACUGAUCAUUAUGUUAUGCAAACAAGUGAAUCUAACCUUCUUAUAUAUUGUGAUUGUUUCAUAUAAGAGAAGUAUUUAUUUCCUUAUAUAAGUUGUAUUCCUCCUUUAAUAAGUUCUUUGGAAUUACUUAUUCCUUAAACACGAACCCCCCAAACAAAAAAAAUUACUAAAUAAAAAAAUUCUAGAAAAUAUUCUAAUUUAGGAUUUACAAAUCCUCAUUGAAAAAGGAGAUAUGUUUCUUAAAAAUCUCCACUUUGGCGAGUUUUUUAAUUAAACGACAACAUAUGAUCCGCCAUACAUCUAUGCAACCAUGUCGUCUCCACCUUCUUUAGUCUUACCAAAACCACACUGACAUUGGACUAAUGAGAAUCACUCCACCAUGAGUAAAAUCUUGUCCUCUAUCCAGCAACCAUAAUUUUCUACAUCGAGAAUCAUCAUACUUCACAUUAUCUAGAGUACACAUGUUUGGCAUAUGUCGAUCACAUUUAUGAAAUUACCCACUCUCAUGUUUGGCUUCUUUGAGAGUCCUCAACGAUCAACAUAAAAAGUCCACCACAUACCUUGCAUAAAUACUAAACUACAUGUUGUGUGCACAUCUUGUGGACCCAUUAACAAUAACACAUCCUCUUCCACGACACACCAAUAGAUAACAUAAUUAGUAUCUCCUUCUAUUAAUUUACAACUACUUUCCAAAUUUUAUAUAUUCUAACAAUCUCUUUUAAGAUAUUUUGAUUACCUACACUCCUCUAGGGGUUUCUACUAGUGGAAUAGGCCUGACAUUGCUCUUUGCUUUACUUGUAUAGACAGAUUGAACAAUAUGUUAUUGACUUGAUCUUCCCAAAAGGCAAAAUUAAUUAUUCCGUCAAACGUUUCUGUUUCUAUCUUCAUAGGUUUUGAAAACCUCCUUGUUGACGUAUUUGCUCUACAUUGCAGCCUUAACUCUAUUAUCACCUGCUAAGAAAUAAUUAAUCUCACCUAAGAUUCGCAAGAAAAAAUAUGAAAUAAAUAGUAAAUAGAAAAUAGGUGGAGAAUAAAGCUAAUAAAAUAAUACAAAAAUUUACAUGAAAAAUUUCUAUAUUGGAGAAAAAUUAUAAUAGCUAAGGACGAUAAGAGAAAAAUUUAUUAUGUAAAUAUUAUUAUAAUUACUCUAGGGUUUUUCUCACACCUAAAACACCAAAAGCACCUAAUUUUAAUAGAACUACUUUUCUCUCACACUGAAAACUAUUUACUUACAAAUAACUGAUUAUUGAAUUAUGCAAAGAAGUAAACUCAAUCUCCAUAUAUAUAUGUAGUGAUUAUUUCAUAUAGAAGUUGUAUUCCUUUCCUUAUAUGAUUUGUAUUCCUCCUUGAAUAAGUUAAGUUAUAAAGAGAAAAUUACUUAUUUCUUAAAUAUGAAUUAUCUUCAAUAAGAAAACUAAAAAGUGUAGAAAAUUCCUAAUUUAAGACUUAAAAAUCUUCUUUGAAAAAAGAGACAUCUCCCAAUGUCCUCAAAUCCUCCUUACAAUGCCACCAAUCUCUUUUGUGACUAGCCCAAUUGAAACUUUUAAUGGAUGGGCUGUAAUUGCCAAUAUCCAAAUAAAACAAAUUUCCAUAGAUAUAUUGGUAGAUUGAAGGACAACUAACAACACAUGAUUUGAUUAACUUACUUCCAAAAAAAAAGAAAAAAAAAAGAUACAAUGGAUUAACAUAAGACUCUUGUGCCAACUCAUGGAAUUCAUCAAUAAGGCCUUGGCUGAUCCACCUCAUGAUUAGUAGGGUUCAAACCCUUGCUAAAUGAUAAGAAAAAUAUUUGGAUUACUAAUUACUGUUUCUGAAGUCUAUUUAAACUUUAACUUUUAGAAUUUUGAACGUCUACACUUUAAUUAAAACAAUACAAGCCCACCCGUUUGUAUUUAAAAUUUUGUUUGAAUUUAUUCACAAGCAACAAGAAUAGUAUAAAUGGAAAAAAAAAAGUACCAUCAAAUAAUAUUCCAUGACUUUGUUUCUUCAAUUUCAGGAGCAAUGGUGGAAUCAUUCUUUCCGAUUGAAAAACUUUUGGAAAAAUUAGGGAGCUCUGCUCAUGAAGAACUUUUAUUGUUCUGCGGUGUCAAAAAUGACUUACAAAAGUUAAAGGAGACGUUAACCACUGUCAAAAGUGUGGUUUUGGAUGCUGAGGAAAAGCAAAUCCAUAAUCACCGGUUAAGCGAUUGGCUGGGAAAGCUUAAGGAUGCUUGUUAUGAUGCAGAAGAUGUGUUGGAUGAAUUUGAGGUGGAAGAUCUACGAAGGCAAGUCAUGAAGCAAAGAAGCAUCGGAAGAAAGUUUCGUAACUUUUUUGGAAGCUCAAAUCCGAUAGCUUUUCGUUUUAGAAUGGGUCAUCAAAUCAAGAAAAUUCGAGAGAGGUUUGAUGAGAUUGCAAAAUUGAGGGGUGAGUUUAAUCCCAUUGAACGACUUGACGAUCAUCGGCGAGUUGUGCACAAAGAAAGGGAACCCACUCACUCGUUUGUGCUUUCAUCAGAUAUUAUUGGAAGAGAUAAAGAUAGAGAAAAGAUUAUUGAACUAUUGAUGCAAACAAGUGGCGGCGAAAGUGAAACUGUGCCUGUGGUUCCUAUUGUGGGACUUGGAGGUUUGGGCAAGACUGCACUUGCAAAAUUGGUGUACAAUGAUCAAAGGGUAGAAGAGCAUUUUGAGUUGAAAAUCUGGAUAUGUGUUUCUGAGGAUUUUGAUGAGAGACAAAUUAUGACAAAGAUUAUCAAGUCGAUAACUGGUCAAAACCAAGGUGACUUGGAUACAGACCAAUUGCAACGAAUCUUGCGAGAUCGUUUGAAUAGUAAGAGAUACUUGCUUGUUAUGGAUGAUGUAUGGAACGAAGAUCCUGAAGCAUGGCGUAAAUUAAAAAGCUUAUUGUUGGGAGGUGCUAACGGAAGCAAAAUUUUGGUAACCACACGUAGCAGGAAGGUUGCUUCAAUCAUGGGCACGAGGGGAGGUACUACUGGCUACAACUUACAAGGUCUACCAUUCGAGGAUUGCUUGUCUUUGUUUAUGAAAUGUGCAUUUAAAGAAGAGCGAGAUAAACAUCCAAACCUCAUAAAAAUCGGGGAAGAAAUUGUGAAAAAAUGUGGGGGAAUUCCUCUGGUAGUCAGAGCACUAGGAAGUCUAUUAUAUUGCUCAACGGAUGAACAUGAUUGGGAAUAUGUGAGGGAUAAUGAGAUAUGGCAGUUAGAGCAAAAGGAAAGUGGCAUUUUACCUGCUCUGAGGUUAAGCUACGAUCAAUUGCCGCCUCACCUGAAACAAUGUAUUGCUUAUUGUUCAAUCUUUCCCAAGGAUUAUCAAUUUUAUGGUGAGUCUUUGGUUCAAUUUUGGAUGGCUCAUGGUCUUCUCCAAUCCCAUAAUAAGAAUAAGGAGUUAGAAGAUAUUGGUAUGCGGUACUUGAAGGAAUUACUGUCAAGAUCUUUCUUCCAAGAUUUGAUUUUUGGGAUUUCAGGAAUGGAGACUCUCUCUUUCAAAAUGCAUGACCUUAUGCAUGAUCUUGCCCUGCUAGUGGCCAAAGAUGAAUUCCUAGUAGUGAACUCUGAUUGUCAAUCUAUUCCCAAAAGAGUCCGCCAUUUGUCAUUUGCUGCUGCUAAUGCAUCAAGGAAUGACUUUUCAAGC
rnacentral:lncRNA from 1 species